AAGCUAAGAACACCAUUAUUCAAUAUUUAAACAAGCAUGUUAUAUCACAUUUGGCAUACCUAAACGUAUCAAAUAUCCAAUAGAAAUCAAACAAAUAAGCUACUCAGUAAACAGAAAAACCUUUAUACAAAUCAUCAUAGAGAUUCAAUUAUCACAAGCAGCAUACUCAGUAAGUAAAAGAACUGUCGUAUAAAUCAUCAUGGAAGUUCAACUACUACAAGCAGCAUACUCAGUAAAUAGAAGAACCUUCGUACAAAUCAUCAUGGAGAUUCAACUAUCACAAGCAACAUACUCAGUAAGCAGAAGGACCGUUGCAUAAAUCAUCAUAGUGGUUCAACUAUUACAAGUAAUGUACUCAGUAAACAUAAGAACCAUCAUAUAAAUCAUCAUAGAGAAUCAACUAAUACGAGCAAUAUACUUAGUAAUUAGAAGAAUCAUCGUAAGAAUCAUUAUUAAGAUUCAACUAGUACGAGCAACAUAUUUAAUAAACAAAAGAAGUAUUGUACAAAUCAUUAUAGAGAUUCAACUAGUACGAGCAGCAUACUCAGUAAAUAAAAGAAGCAUCGUACGAAUCAUUAUAAAAAUUUAACUAGUACGAUAAGCAUACUUAGUAACUAGAAAAAGCACUGUACAAAUCAUUAUAGAGUUUCUAAUAAUAUCCUUAACCAUCUGUAUGUUUUAUUAAGUCUUUUAUUGACCUCCACAUAAAGCUGUUACAACAUAUAUCCACUGAGGGCCAAAGGGAUCCCCGAUUACCGCUGUGAAUCACCAACCCAUCCCCAGGUCCUUAUCAUAUCCCCAUUUAGACUCUAACCAAGGCUAUCUAUUUGUCAUGGUGGUCUUACAUACACCUAACGUGUAUCUUAUCUUUUCAAAGGGAUCGCUGAUCAUCACAGAGAGUGGUUCAUCAAUACUUAUUUAGAGAAUGGAGAAACAUAAACCUCGAAGAGAUAAUGGUCGAACAUAUUUUUUCAUUCUUUUCACUUAUUUUUUCAUACUCACAACAAUUUCAUAUUCUUUUCAUAUGCAUACUACAUGUUCGAUGCAACCAUUUUCGAAUCCAUAGGGAUUCCAUAACUUAUCCAGCCCAUAGGACCUUUUUUACAUAUUCGGCCUAAAGGCUCAUGUCUGGCUCGAAGGCUCAUUUUAGGUAUCCAACCUGAAGGUCCAUUUUACCCGGACUUGACCUUCAGGUCAUCUUCUUGAACCAAGAUCUACUAGAAUAACCCUAUCACCAUUACUAAAGUAAGGUGAAGGGCCAAACCCGCAUGCAAUUUCUAAUUAUCAUAUUUUAUGCAUCAUGUUCAAUAUUUUCAUGGUUAAACAAUGAUCAUUUACCAUAGAGACUUAUACAUCAAAUCAACAUGUUCAACAAUACUAAACAUCAAUCCUUGUAGGAAUUCAUGCAUUAUAGUCAUACGAUACACUAUCAUGUAUCAUAUCUCAUGUCUAGAACCUGGUGGGGCUUCAACAACAUAUUCCGCCAAAGGCUUAUUAUAACCAGAUUUGACCAUCGAGAAAUUCUUUAAAACUGGAGCUCCUUAGAAUAACCCUCUUUGCUAUUACCGAUGGUAAGACAAAGGGUCAAUCCCAAUAUUUUUUAAAUCAUCAUUAUAACACAUAUAUCAUGGAUGAUUAUCACAAAUAAAUCAUCAAACAAGCAUAGAAAUCCAUUUCAACAAAUAUCGAUUUUCACCAAAUUAAUUAACUAAAAAGAGCACUUAGACAUGUAGAUAAAAAUACUAAAGAAUCCUUCCAUGUCAAUUUAGUCUUUUGGAAGUGAAGGAAAGAGCUUCUAGAAAUUCCUUGAACAAGCUUGCAAACCUCUUGCUUCUUCUCCUUCUUUCUUAUUUCUUUCUCUCUUUAAAAUUUUAUCUUUCUCACUCUAAAAUCUCUCUCUAAAAAGUGAAAAUGGAAGAAAAAAUGAAGUGUGGGAAAUGAGGAAGAAGAGAGCCUUUAAAUAGGCAUGGAAGAGGCUUAGAUGUGCGCCACACGACAAACAUCCAAGAAAGAAGAGUGUGGUGGUGACCAUGGGACCUGCACAGUAUAGGGGAAGCAUGGUGAGGCAUAGGGGCGGGUGUGGGGAAGAUUUUAUCCACUUUUUUUAUUUUUCUUUCUUUUCUUUCUUUUCCCUACUUUUUUAUUCUUUUAAAAUUCAAAAAUAUAAUUUAAAGAUAAGAUCAUAAUUAAAAUUUUAAUUAAACAAAUACCUAUUUUACUUUUUCUUUUUGAAAAUUCAUAAUUAUAAAUUAAAGAUAAAAUCAAAUUUAAAUCUUUUAAAUAAAGAAAUACUAAGUUUAAUAAAAAAAUAAACAAAUACCAAAUUUAAACAAAUACCAUACACUAAAUUUAAAUUAAAUAAACAAAUACCAAAUUUAAUAAAAUAAAACAUGAUAAAAAUUAAAAUGCGAAAAUAUUAAUAAUUUAAAAUACAGAAAAAUUAAUUACCAAUGAAAAUUUAAAAUGGAUAUUAUGCCCAAAUUAAUAGAGUUUUGAACAUACAGUAAAGCACAAAGAUUCGAUGUGUUACAGUUAGGGUGCAGUUUGUAAGUUAACCCUGUCUUAUAUACCAGUAAGGUACUGGCUACAUUAGUACAACUGCCUCCAUAAAUGAUCACAUUAUAGACCUUUCUGUUAACCAGAUAUCUAUAGUGGAAGACGGUUUCCGUCUAAUUGUUAUCUUCUGACUUGAUCUGCAUGUUCAAAUUUUGUUGGGUCACAAACACAUCUCCCUGAAUUGCCUGCGCAAUACUUUCUUCACUAUCUCCAAAUGAUGGCAUGUCUCCCUACUCACUACCAAUUUUGUGAUCAUUGAUGGCGUCCUCAUUAUCCCUUAUUAUUAUAUUAUGUUGAUUGGGACAUUGGGAUGCAAUAUGUCCAACCACAAGCACUUGAAACACUUAACAAUGCAUUGUCUUGCAGCAUGUGCCUUAGGGUUACAUGUUGGUGAUGUAGGAGGUAUGGAAAUGAUUGUUUUAACUUAUGGAACCUCAACCUAAUGCAUGCAAUUCAAAAACUUAACUGCCUAAUUAACCCCUCCUCUACUUGAAUCUAUAACCAAUUAUAUGGCAUGCAAAAACAAGAACUAGGAAAGUCAAAACGAGAAAAGAAAGACGCGAUGGCUUACCCGAUAAUUCGAUCCCAACUCCUUAGCUUAAUAAGAUUUCGAAAAGCUCCCUAACUUCGAAGAACUUGAAGACACUAAAUUAGCGAAAACUAAAUUGAAGAAAAGCUCAAAGCUUCAAUAUUAUUAAUUCUCAAAGUUAUUGGAUUACAAAGCUUGAACUUAAGCCUUCAUAUAGUCUUUUAUUUUCUAUUUCUACUUAGAAUAGGAUUUAGGAUUCCUAUCUAAACUUUAGGACCUAAUUUAAUUAGAAAUAAAAUACAUAAAUAAUUAAAUAAAGGAAUCUUAUCCUAAACUUAAUUUAAAUACUUAAAAUAAUUAAGGUAAAUAUUAAAAUAAUAUUUUCCCUUGAUCCAAGUUUUCAAGAAUCUUGAUCUUCCUUGGACUUCAAUUUUGAGUAGAAAUCCUCCUCCAAUUUGGACAUAUUAAUCACAUGGGAUAAUUAUUAAAGUGAAUCCUUGUAGUACUUGAAAAAGUGAGAAACCAAGUUCAAAAGGACUUAGGAAAAGCAAACCGCCGGGUAGCUUACUGGGCACGCUGGUGGGUGUACGAGCUACAUGAGUGGGUUGCGCGGGUCACACAAACAGCUACACGAGCUUGGGUCGCGUGUACGGGGUGCUCGGAGUGCACCUAGCCUUUUACGCACGUGUUGCUGUGUGCAUGCGCAUUCUUCUUAUACGCAUUUUACACGCGCUGGGCGUGUGAAGCUACUUGUCUGCGCAUGCGGGCUGACUGCUCAUGCAGGAAGCUCCUCGCGCACUUAUUUCUGCACUUUGGGGCGUGCGAGCGAUACUACUUGCUUAUCCUACAUGUAUGAUGCUAUACCCACUAACAACACACAUAAACUAGAGUGUAAGAAGCGAGCAAUUAUAGAUGAACUUUUAAAAAUCAGAAAUGAUUCUUUUUCAGUAUAUUAACAUUCUGAUUUUUGGGUAUAGUAAUCGUAAUAACCCAUAUUUUUCUCAAUUUGAUUUCUCAUGUUUGGUAUGAUUGAUUAAGCAUGUACAAGAACUCAGUUUAACAACAAACAAGAAGAAAGUAGUAAAAUCAAGUUAGAGGGAAACUCUUAAGAAUGAGAAUUUUUCCUCAAACAGAAAACCAAUAUUUUGGCCAAAAAGAAGUUUCAAGGUCAUAAUGACAUCUUAGGAGCUUAAAAAGUACUUUCGAGAAGUGAGAAAAAAUUUUGUAGAAGAAAAUUUAGGAGAAAACUAAGGAAAACCUAGAGGCAUGUGGAGAAGCUUAUAAUGACUUAUUGUCCUGGGCCUUAUGGGCUUAGGUGGGCCUAAAGGAGUCUCCCACCAAGAAAACAACUCAAUACCACUUUUAUGCUCUUCUCAUCUCUAACUUUUUUCUCUUAUGCUCUUUUAUCUUCUCUCACCCUCUCUACUUCUCUUACUUCAUCUUCUUCUCUCCUUACCUCUUCAAGGUGCUCUCUUUCCUCUCCCCUUUCUUCAUCAAUAGUACCAUAAACUUGCACAAAGGGUGGAAUAAUAGUAGUUCAUAUAAAAUUGUUCUAAUAGAAUUUAACAGAGUUUAAUUUGGUGAGAGAAGAAAAUUGGGCUGGAAGGGUAUUAGUAGAGUGAAGAAACAUGUUAGUCUCAUAUCCCUUACUACCUUGUUGGUGGUAUGAAAAGAGAGAAACAAGAGAGCUUUUGAGGGCGUAGAAGAUGAUUUUGAUAGCAUAAAAGAUAGAUGAUUUCAAAUCCUAAAUUUCUUAAUUAUGGCAUCCUCUCCAUUUACUUGAGGACUUUGGGAACCUUAUUGACAUUUUGAUCUAUGUGUAAUUAUUUUUGUAUUUAGGUUUGCAUCCCAUUGAUGCAUAUGAAUGAAUUAAGUUAUAUUAUUUUUAUUUCAAAAUAAAGAAUAUGAUAUAGUUUGAAUUCAGUACCGAAUAAAAUACAAGUUAAAAGUAAUUAAAACUUGAUAAAUUGGUUAAAACUGAUAUAGUAAAUUGGUUAAGGAACACAAUUGAUACGAAUAUAAAUAUACUUUAAAUUAAAAAGCUAAGAAAUGUGGAGAUAAUACAUGUAGGUUGACAAUUCAUUAAUCAUUGUUAGCAAGCAUGUCUAAUAAACACAUAAAAGAAACACGCAAGUAAUAUGCUAUCCCUGUCUCUUAAUUUACACUACUCAUACAAAUAACAUCACUGCAUCCUAUAAUGCAACUUGAGCAUACAACAUGAAGAAAAUGCAAGACCUCUUAUAGUUUUUGUUAGAGAGGAAGUGGAAAAGAAGGGGAUACCUUUUGCCAAUUAUGCCUAGUGAUAGUAAAACUAAUAAACAAUGAAAAUUCAUUAACAUAAACAAAAACAUCUACAAGAAUAUAUAUUCACAUACAUCUAUAGGUAUAAUAUCAACUCAAGAGGGGACAAUAAAGCAAGCAAAAAAUUACAUGACAAACGACAAAGUGAAAAAAAGUUCAGUUAACAAUAGUUAUGAUGUUAACUGAGGAAGACACAGUAGAAAGUUGCAACUUCUAGUUAAUACUUAAACACAUUCAAUGAUAAAUAUGGUCUUGUUGAUAUAAAAUGAGCAUGGAAUUUUUCACUCCAGCACACAUUUCACUAAAGCAUAUGGAAAAAUCCCAUAUGGAUGAGUUUAAGUUCUGUGAUGCUUUUAAAAUAUCAUAUACGGAUGUUUCACUUUCUAAAUAACAUGAGAGCAUAGAACUUUAGCCAGUUGAAACUAUUCAUCAUAAAAAAUACGAACAAGAAAACCAUCUUUAGAGGAUUGCUUUAACACUAACUUCAUCAGUUCUACUCUAUAUAUAGUUAUAAAUUGCAUCAACUGACUUGCAAAAACUUUAUAGAAAUAUCAAGAGGCAUUUCAUUUAAGUAAAGUACGAACAGAGAUUUGGUAACACAGCAAAAUUUUUUUUAAGGAAACAGUAAACACUCCUCACUUAGUGGUGUGCGGUUUCAGCUUCCAGGUGGAAAAAUUGAUUUUGGUUGGUUUCUUUGGGCCUCCUUUGGCUGCGACCAUGUUGCAUUUGUGCCUUUCAAGGUAGAUCUCAAGCCUAAGACUCUUUUUCCCGUCUCAGUUUGGGUUGUUGAAGCCCUUAUUGGGUCGAUCCUUAGUGUCAUGUUCCAAGGCCUUCAGGAUUCGACCUUUCGUUGUUUGGGCUAUUUCUUUGGUCUCCCAUGGACCUCUUCUUGCUUUUUGCAUGCAGCUUGGACUCUGGGAAGGUCUAGCCCAUGCAGUCUCAAGACCUUAAGUGGGUUGUCACGCCCUAAAAUGUGCACGACAUAUGCCUUUUUAAUGGGUCGCUUAGUUGGCGGGCUCGCAAGUUUGUAGGUAUUCAGCCCGAGGGUUAGCCACUCCUCGUGGGUUUCCCCCUUAUUCUAGGAACACUUUCAAACAUGUAUAGGAAACUCAUUAUCGUUCAGCAUUUUUCAUCCUUUAGUGGUCUCAUAACUCUUUUAUUUAUUACUAGUCUUGUCUUCAAUUAGUAUCGCAUUAGUACCAUACAACAACAGUGCAUUAAAGCAUAAUUGUAUUUGUACCAAUCCACACAACAAGAACAAUGCACAUUGCCAUAAAAAAUCUUUCCUGUCCACAUGAUAAGGUUCACCAUCAACCAUGUCAACUGAAUCUCUUCCACACACACAUAGAUCCUUCAUUUGAUAAAUGAUCAAAUAAUUUACCCGUUUUGGCACAUCACAUAUUCAUGACUUGUGAUUUAUCUUUGCUUUAUCUCCUUUUAGUUUGCUUUCUCAUUUUCAUUUGAAUUUUGCCUUUACUUUUAAAUUUUCCCUCAAUAGAUUAUAUAUUUAUUUCAUACCCUUUUAUUCUUUUAGUUACUUGAUUAAUUUUUUUCCUUAUGUAUUUUCCUCUAACUUUUGACUUCAUGACCCACUUAAAAUCUUAUACUCGUAUAUAUUCUUUUAGUUACUUGAAUAUUAUACUCGUAUAGUUUCCUUAAUCAUUUUUGUUCAACUUUAUUUAUUUAUUUGGUUAAUUUUGUGAUGUACAUUUAUAACAACGUUUAAUACUAACCCACUCACAACCCUAUCAUGCAUGGUAUCCUUUGAUUUAUCUAUAAAUUUGCUCUAUAAUGUAGUUCUAAUUUAAUUGUUGUUCAAUUUCAUAAUAGUCUUUCCUCUUUUUACUUGUAAUGGACCAAGGGCCCAAUCUACUAAUUUGCCUUAAAUUUAAUCCAUUCCAACACUAUUUGAGCCAUUAUUUCAUUUCUUGAUGAUAUCAAUUACAAAUCCACUUCUGUUUUUAAUUUUUGGAUCAAUAGCCCACCAUCCUUAUUCAAUGUAUUAUACAUUUUUGGCCCAUUAAAUCAUAUGUUAUUUGACGCGGGAGGAUAUGGGAAGGAUUCUUUUGACUCCUUAAAUCUCAACCCAAUCAAUGCGAUAUCAAAACUCAAACAAUCUAAUUUAAAACUCCUUCUAAUUGAAAUUAAAAUCCUAAAAUUAAGAAAUUAAUAACAAAAACUAGGGACCAAAAACAAGAAAAUAAAAGAUGUCAUGGUUUACUCGAUAAGUCAAUCCCAACUCCUUAGCUCAAUCAAGACUUUGACAAGCUCACCUAGGUUGGAAGAACUUGAAGAAACAGAAUUAACACGAGGCUAAAAAAGGAUCAAAGCUUAACUUUUAUUAAUUCUUAAGAUGUAUUUACAAUACUUGAGCUAGGACCUUUAUAUAAGCUCUUAAUUACUACUUCUACAUGGAAUAAGAUUUAGGAUUUCUAACCAUAUUCUAAUUCCUAAUUUAUUUGAAAAACAAACACUUAAUUAAUUAAAUAAUAAAAUUCCUCAUCCUUAUCCUAAUUUAAUUAACUAAAUAAUCCUAGGGAUAAGAUUUAUAUUAAAAUAUCAAUAAAAAAAUUAAAUAAUAGUAUUUUUUUCCUUAAUUUUUCAAGGAUAUAUUUUCUUCAACCUUGAGUAGAAUUCCACCUCCAAUUUAGCAUAUUUUACACAUAGAAAAAUUAGAAAAUUUGGAUACCUUGUAGAAAUAGGAAAUUUUGAAUUUUUGGAGUUCAAAAAAGGUUAGCGUGGGUGGGCUAGUUUGCGUGUGGGUCGAGCCAUGAGCCUUCGGAGCUAGGCCGAUGGCGACACGGUUAGACCAGUUGGGCCAUAUGGUUGGGUUGGUUGGGCCGUGCGGAUCUCUUCCCUGGGUGCAAGUCGCGCAUGCAGGGUUUGUUGCGAAAGUGACCUACCGCUGGAGUGCAUUUGUGCUGUCGAGCAUUUGCCAACACGCGCAAGGGUGCACGUUUGCAUGCCUCACAAGCCCCCUCACACGGGUGAGGCUCCCGUAUGUUCAAGUGGGUUCUCCCCCACAUGUGAUUAUCCACAUAUGUGUGGCACAUGCUUUCCAUGGAUCUUUUUUGGGACUUGGCCCACUUUGUCCAUGAGGUCUUUGGGCCACCUUGGGUUGGGCUAUAAAUGGGCUUUUCUUCUUGCUUUGUAACCUUUCUAAGCCCAUGAAGCAUUAUUUAGGCUUAAAGCUUCCUUUAGACAAACUUGGCCCACUCCUUAAAAUAUUCCCAUUUAGGAAAGUAUUCAGGGAUAAUGUUACUUUCCUAUUUAGGGGCUUCUCAUUUAGGAACCUAGAAUUUACUUUUCUUUUUAAGGUGUUCUUGUUUAGGAAACUGGGAUUCACUUUCUUGUUUAGGGCGUUCCCAUUUAGGAAACUAGGAUUUAAUUUCUCAUAUGUGUUAAUCCUACUUAGGAAACAAAAGGAUUCUAGAAUUGCUUGCCUAUUUGGGAUGAGAACUACAGGAAUCUUUGCGGAAAACUGAUUUCCCUUUUUUCCUACGCCUACGCGUGCUCAUCUAUUGUACUGCAUGGGUAGGAUCUCAUGUUGCAUCGGACUUGCGGGUAAUUAUUCUGUAUGAGUCUGGAUUUCUAUGGGGUUCCUCCUUGAUGCAAGAUUUCAUAUUUGGNNNNNNNNNNNNNNNNNNNNNNNNNNNNNNNNNNNNNNNNNNNNNNNNNNNNNNNNNNNNNNNNNNNNNNNNNNNNNNNNNNNNNNNNNNNNNNNNNNNNNNNNNNNNNNNNNNNNNNNNNNNNNNNNNNNNNNNNNNNNNNNNNNNNNNNNNNNNNNNNNNNNNCUAUCGAGUUGAGAAUUCAAAAUUAGACCCCUUUAGUUCAAAAUUUGCACGUUAGUCUUUCUUGACACAUAAAGAAUCCUAAAGAAAUCUAAUUCUACAGAAGCUCAAAACAAGCACACAUAAGAAGAAUUUGUGUGUUUUUGUUUAUAUGCUAAGCAACUAGGAUCAAUUAGUCACUUAGUUAUAUAAUGAAACAAAAGCACAAUGAAAUAAUGUAAACUUAGAUCACAAAAAAAAAAACUAGUUAUACUCUACUGCAUAGGGAUCCAAUUAAUCUUUAUGGAUAUAACCGAAAGUUGUAUCCUAAUUUUACUUACCCAAUAUCGGCUAUGCUCUAUAAAUGGUUGAGUUUUUUUAUACAAUAUUUAAGCCAAAAUUCCAAGAUACAAAAUGAUCAAUUAAUAGUGAAACAGAAAAGGUUUUCGAUCACCGUGGGUGGGUUAAUCUUCCUUUUUAUUUUAUCCAAAUUAAUUAUGCAAAAUGAAUGAAAACCAAAAGUUUUCAUGUGCACCUAUUGGGUGAGGUACUUUGCCUUUGAAUCCACAAAGGUUUUCUAAGCUCACUUACUAGGUGGUUACUCUGCUUUUGAAUGCAAGAUACAAACAACGUGUCAAUUAUCUUAUGGGUUGCAAUUGGGGAUUUUUUUUGUAUUUUUAAUUUUGUAAUUUUUUAUAAUAAACACAAACCACUUGAAUUAAACAAAUAGAUAUGAAUUCAAGCGGGAUGCUAUACGAAUUAACCAAAAAAAUUUAAUUUGAAUUGUUAUUUAAUUUACAAGACUACUAAAGUAAUUGACAUAAAUAGGUUUACUAGGAGCUUAAACUCUAAUACCACAUGGCAUUGGAGGGUAUGGGAAGGAUCAUUUUCACUCCUAAAACCUCAAUCCAAUUGCAUGCAAUAUCAAAACUCAAAUAAUCUAAUUUAAAACCCUUCCCUCUAAUUGAAAGUAUAAUCCUAAAAUUAAGAAAGUAAUAACAAAAACUAGAUAACAAAAAUAAGGAAAGAUGCCACGACUUAUCUAAUAAGUCAAUCCCAACUCCUUGGCUCAACUAAGACUUCGACAGCUCACCUAGCUUGGAAGAACUUGAGAGAAAGAAUAAGCACAAGCUGACAAAGCUCAAGCUUACUUNNNNNNNNNNNNNNNNNNNNNNNNNNNNNNNNNNNNNNNNNNNNNNNNNNNNGUGCCACAAAAAGGCUUUCUUGAUUGCCAUGUAACCUCUCCUGGCCCAUGAAGCAUUACUUGGGUUUUAAGUUUCCUUUGGACAAACUUGGCCCACUUCUUGAAACAAUCCCAUUUAAGAAAGUAUUAAGAGAUAAAGUAACUUUCCUAUUUAGGAAAUUGGAAUUUAUUUUUCUGCUCACGGUGUUUCUAUUUAAGAAACUGGGAUUCACUUUCCUGUUCAGGGCAUCCCCACUUAGGAAAUUGAAAUUUACUUUCCCGCCUGAGAUGAUCCUAUUUAAGAGACAAAAGGAUUCUUGAAUUGCUUACUUGUUUAGGACGAGACCUACGAGAAUUGAAGCGAGAGGGUAUGGGAAGGAUUGAAUCUACUCGUGAUCAACGUAUGCAAUACUAAAGCAAUAACAACCUAGAAUUAAACUUCUCCCUCUAAUUGAAUCUAAAAUCCUAAAAAGAAAGUAAAAAUAAAGACUAGGAAAAAUAAACGAAGAAAGAAAAAACACCAUGGACUUACUAAUAAGUUGAUCCCCACUCUUUGCCUUAACAAGUCUUCUGAAGACUUUUGUUUUCAAAAGAAUUUGAAGAAGCUAAUUUUAGCAAAAAUACUAAAAGAAGAAAAGUCGAAGCUCUCAAGAAUUCUCUCAAAUUUAUUCUCAAAAGUUGUUGUUUUACACCUUAGGAGCAAAGGUUUAUUUAUAGCAUUUUCCAAACAAUCUAAAUGAAUAUAAAAAUCUUGAGAUAAUUAACAAAAUAUUAACUUAGAUAAAAUUCUAUCUUAAUCUAGGAUAAUUACAUAAUAAAAUAAUUAUUCUAUCCCAAAUAAAUUAAUUAAAUAAUUCUAAAGGAUAAAAUUAUAUCUCAAUCUAGGUUGAUUGCAUAAUAAAAUAAUUAUUCUACCCUAAAUAAAUUAAUUUAAAUCCACAUUUAUCCCAUGUGAAAUCCAUUUAAAACACAUGGGUAUUUUAAAAAGUGGGUCCCAAACCUUUUUAAAAGGUUUUUAAAAUAAUAAAAUAAAUAUUAAAUAAUUUUAAAAGGAAAAAGGAGAAAAGAGGGGGUCGGCCAGUUUGGGCUACCCAGAUGGGCCGAGCAAGCUGGUCCACGCGGGUUGCGUAGAAGAAGACCUCUUGGGCCAUUUUGCUAGGCCGUCUGCAAGCCCAUCAGCAUGGAGUGAACACGUUCGACACUUGGGCCUGCUUACGUGCGGUUGGUUCUGCGCAGGCCUAGAUGGUUGCGUGCAUGGGCACUCCCAAGCGCUUGUGCGCACGGUCCGUGCAGGCACGCGGACAUGCUCAUGGGCUGUGCGAGCUUGGUCGCAUGUUUGUGGGUUGUGCAGGCUGAGUUGCAUGUUUGGUGCACAUGUGGGCCUCCUCACCUAAGCAUGGGCUUUCUUACAAUUCUUCAAGCCCAUUAAUCAUACUUAAGCCUUAAGUCUACUAGCUUGGACAAACUUGGCCCGUCUCUUGGAAUAAUCCAAAUUAGGAAAGCGUUUAGAGAUGAAAUUACUUUCUUGUUAUAGGCGUUCUCAUUAUAAGAUUGCAUCUUUAGAACUAAUUUUGAGCUGUCUAGGAUCACAUCAGGAAUACUUGCGGGAAACGAAUUUUUCCUUUUUCCUACGCCUACGCAUACUCGUCUGUUGUACUAUAUGGGUAGGAUCUUGGGUUGCGACGAACUGACGGGUAAUUAUUGUACAUGAGUCCAGAUUUUCAUGGGGUUCCUCCUUGAUGUAGGAUUUUACCUUCAGAACUAAAUUUGGGGCAUCCAGGAUCACAUCAUGAUUAUUAUUACUAUUAUUGUUAUUAUAAUUAUUAUUACUAUAUUUUUAUUUUAUUAAUUUAUUUCCUUCCUUUUCUGGCNNNNNNNNNNNNNNNNNNNNNNNNNNNNNNNNNNNNNNNNNNNNNNCCUCAGCUGCUGAGGUGAUGCAACUUAUGAAAUUUACAAUUUAUAACCCAAAUUGGAAAUUCUUUUCAUCUUGCUCCUUUUAAUAUUACCAUUUCUCCUAAUAUAUUUAAAGUGUUCUCAAUUUUACUCUUAUUAUAUAUUUUUCUUAAUUUGAAUAAUUUCUUUAAUUAUUUCAUCUUUGUUCCAUUUAAUAUUCUUGAGGGUAAAAUUUAAUAAUAUAAAAUUUGUGUAAAAAUAGAAAUUUUUAAUUCACUAUGUUUGAGUUUCGAUCUUUACAAUCCUCUCUAACUUGAAAGAAAUUUGGUCCCUAAAUUUGUUAGACUUGUUAAAACAAUUGAGGAUACUUAACUCUAAUCCUUUCCUCAAGCUUCCAUGUUGCCUUAUCUUGCGAGUGAUGUUACCAUAAAACUUUCACUAAAGGUAUUACCUUGUUUAUCAAUGUCUUCUCUCUUUGAUUUAGUAUAUGUAUUGGUACUUCUUCGUACAUCAGGUUCUUCUUUAACAGAAGAAUUCAUAUUAUAGCACAUGAGCGAGAUCAGAUUGAUUCUUAUGUAGCAUUGACAUGUGGAACACAUUGUGAACUAUUGAUAAUUAUAGUGAUAGUGCACUCGUAUAAGCAAUUGUACUAACUCGUUAUAAUAUUUCGAAAGCCCUAAUAAAUCAGGGGCUUAGUUUACCCUUUUCGAAUCUUAGAAGACCUUUCAUUAGUAAUACCUUUAUAAACACAUGUUGAUGCAAUACCAGCCGUAGUCAAGCCUAAACUGAUAGAAGGCAGGAAGUGGGCUAAUACUGACGAUCUUCCAGAAAAUGAAAGGAAAUAAUUACAAAGUAACAAUACUCUAAGCUACUUUAUCCUUGAUCAAGUAUCAAAUAGCAAGGCUAAAUCCACCAAAUAAAAAUCUUGACUUAGGAAGCAACGACACCAGAAGGUGCCACAAACCUGAAGGGUAAUGGGCCUCACUGUUAAAGAACAACUCACUCGAAAAAUCUUGGCCCAAAAAGAAAGACCACAUAUAGUCCGGGUAUGGGUGCUUGUGUGGUACACGUGCGUUGCCAUGCACAUACAGGAUACUUUGCCCCAUAUUUUUUAGUGUCCAACGUUCUCGUAAUGAACCAAUCGAAACGACCUUAUACCCUGCAGGAAAACUAGAGGCAAACAAACUCUUCAACACGUGGGCACGGAGGCCCAUGCGCGAACGAAGCUACCUGCACGUGUGCCAGUGUGCGAUCUAACCCACACUUCCCAUGUGCGCACAGACACAUGUAUGCCUGCACGAAUCACAGCACAAUCGCACAACGCCUAUAAAUGUGGCUCAUUGGCCCCGCACGCGGAACCCACUAUGUGCGUGUAGGACCAAGCCUUUUGGCCCUAGUGGCACACCCCAGACCCGACCAGCCAUUCCCCACUUUUUAAUUAAUAUAUUUUUUUAUUUUUAUUAUUGUUAAGGCUUUUGGGCCCCACCUUUUAAUUUCUCAUAUUUUUAAAUUAAUUCCCACAUGUUUCAAUUAAUUUUUCCAUGUGUUUUAUAUGAAAAUAACAUGGGAUAAAGCCUAUCGUAUUUUUAAUUAUUAUUUGAAUGUAAAUUCUAUCACUAUGAUUAUUUAAUUAAUUAUUUUUUAAUUAGAUAGGAUAUAAUAUAUAUUUUAUUAUGUAAUUAUCCUAUAAUUAAAUAAAAUUUUAUCUAUGAUAUUAUUUUAUUAAUUUUUUAAAGUGAUUGUGAUAAUCUAGAAUUAUCCCGGGAAAGCCUAUAAAUAGGUAUUUGCCUAUAGGUUGUAAACACAUAAAUUAUAAUCAAUUUAAGAAAAAAUCUUAAAGAAUAGGUUUUUCUUCAAUUAACAUUUUUGUUAAUUUUUAGUUUUUUCAAGUUUUUUAAGAAGUAAGAGUUUUUAGAAGUUUUGUUGAGCUAAGGAACGGAGAUUAACUUAUCUUUAAGUCUAUGGCAUUUUUAUUUUCUUUAUUUUAUUUUUCUUUAUCUUUGUUUUUGCAUUCCUUUUAGGAUUGUCGAUUCAAUUAGAGGUAGGAGUUUUUUAGGCGUUGAAAUUUUGGUAUUACAUAUGUUGAGUGGUUUAUAAGAGUUGAUUCGAUCCUCCCCAUACCCUCCCACGUCACAUGGUCGCCUAUUUCGGAUGUGAGGUCCCUUCUUCUAUUAAUCAUGUAGCUUUUUUGUUUAUUUUGUGUCAUCUAAAGAUUUUUUCUGAUAAUUGAUAUCUUUAUAGUGGUUAUUUUUAUAAGGUUGGGACAAAUCAUAUUUCUUUUCCCACUUUGUGCCAACAUAUUGGUGAUCUACACAGCACACCGUAGAAUGCCUCAAAAGAAGUUAUUCACAUGUUGGCCUGAUAACCUUUUUUUAGAAGCAAAUUGUAAGUAGUCGUCCCAAUUUCCUCCAAUAUCUAGUACACUUGAUCGUAGCAUGCUCUCUCAUACCUAAAUGGUUUUUUUAGAUAGUCUAUAUGUAUGUGGGUGAAAAGUUGUACUAAAAGAUAGUUUUGUGCCUAAAGCCUAUUAAAAACUUCCACAAAAUCUGGACAUAAAUACGGGAUCUCUGUUNNNNNNNNNNNNNNNNNNNNNNNNNNNNNNNNNNNNNNNNNNNNNCAAUUUGUCUACUAUCACCCAAGUGGUCUCGUGAUAUGACCGUGUCAUUGGCAAUCCCACUACCAAGUCCAUACAAAUAUGUUCUGUUUUCCAUUCAAAUAUUAGUAGGGGUUGAAGAAGUCUGCUCAAUCCUUGAUAUUUUGCUUUAAUUCGUUCGUGUACAAGACAUCUAGCGAUAAAAUUUGCAAUUUCUAACUUUAUUUCGCUUCACCAGUAAUAGGAUCACAUGUUCUGGUACAUCUUAGUACUAUCUGUGUGUAUGGUGAAUCGAAAGCUAUGUGCUUCUUCUAAGAUCUCUCAUUUCAACCCACUAUUACCAGGAACACAUAUCAUGUCUUUAAAUCUAAGUAGACCAUCAUCAUGUACUUUACAAUAUGAUUUUAGACCUUAUUUAAUAGGGUCAACCAUUUGACAACUUUAAUUUUUUAAACCAAGGCCGGCUACGCCAUUACACUCAUUAGAUACACACCUCUCUUAUGGUCUUUGAUUUCUAAUUUCUGUAUGGAUUUUAGUAGUUGUCACUCGUAGACUAUUGUAUGUGCUAGUAGUCUUGUGUUCUUCCUUUUGAUGGUAUUUGCUACUAUAUUUCCUUUACUGUGAUGAUAUCAAGUUUUACAAUCAUAAUUUUUUAGCAAAUACAUCCACCUCCUCUAUCAUAUAUUAAGUUCUAUAAGAGAAAAUAGAUAUUGCAAGCUCUUAAGAUUUAUGUAAAUCUUGAAAGUUUUGCCAUAUAGAUAGUGGCGCCAAAUCUUGAGAGAAAACAUGACCGUCACAAAUUUUAGGUUAUGAUUGGGGUAGUUUCUCUCAUGAGUUUUCAAUUUCGGGACCCAUAAUAAUGUGAUCUUAGACAUGACAAAACAAUAAAACCUAGAAGGCCAAGGAAAAUAUGCCCACGGGCAAGGAGCUACUUGUACUCGCGAGCAUGCUAGUGAGAAUCGCACAGGAGAUAUUAUCCGCACAAAAGAAGAUAACCCAAGAGGCCAUCUGCGGAAUGCAUGGAGGGAACAUGCGCAUGCCCAAUGCACAUGCCAGCAGAACGCAUGAGAAUGAAAUCCUACCGCUUGCGGGAAUUUAGAGUUUUAUCUCAUAUUAGGUUUCUGCCAUUCCAAACCCAUUAAUGGAAUUUCAGACCAAGAAACUUUUCUAAAUUGAUUCACACCUAAGAACAAUCAAAGAAACACAACGAAACCUUAUCCAAAGUUCAUAGAUGGAAGAUUCAAAGAUCUUUUAGGAUAAUUCCAAGAUUUUGGCUUAAGGGAGUUCUCUAAAGCCCAAACAACAUAAGUAUAAGAUGAUUGAGCUUGACUUUAGUCUUGGAUGAUCAAGAACCAAUAAGCCCAAGCCCAAGAAAGAAGCACAAACCUUGGCUAAGCAAGAUCUUGGCUCUUGGCCCACAUGGCCGAGAAGGAGGGGGAAGAAGAAGGCCCGCCCGCACAACAAAGCCUCUUCCCUUUGAGAUGUUCGAUUUUGAGGAGAACCAAGCCUCUAUAACUGACGAUAAAAAGGAAACAAGAAGAAGAAUAUAAAAAAGAGCUAUCCAUGAGGCUCCAAGGAAAAGCAAGCCGCAAACAGUAAAGAAAACUGAAAAGAAAGAUAAGGAGGCAUACCCGAGAGGAAGAUAGAUUUUUUAUCCUCUAUGCAUUAUUCUUUACUAGUUUUUGUUUUCUUUUAGAUUACAAGAACUGUAUAAGAAGACUUUUACAUGAAGAGAGGAUACAAUUUCAAGAAGGAGACAACUACAUCAAGAAAAAAGGAAUCGAACUCCCACCAAGAUUCGACCAAGAACACUUUAUCCUAGCCGAAUUCCCAUCACUUUUCCUACUCCAACUCUAAAGGUUUGAAUAUUUCCCCAACACUAAAUACUCACAAGAAAUAAAGAAAAAAUGCAAGAAGAAUAAUUGAAGAUGAAUUAGGAAGGCCAAACCCGAUUAGGAUUACCAUUUGGCUAAGUUGGAAAGACACACUCUUUUUUGAAAAAAUUAAGUCUUUUAUUAUUACUUAAGUGUAAUCCUAAUCUAGGUCGACUUAAGAGUUUGGCUAGAAUUAUUUAAUUUGUUCUCUAGUAGACUAAACAUGGUAGAUACUUAUAUAAGGAGGCCAUCCUUUCAGUUGAUUUCAUUCCAAUUCAAGUUAUCAAUAAUAUUCAAGUUUUUUAUUUUUGGCUAAUUGCUAAUUGUGAGUGCUCUUUAAGACGGUGUCUUCAACCAUGUUAUUGAGUAACGGGUUCAUUCUACUUAUCAAGAUGAGUCCUAAUGGUGUUUUAUCAAUCCAUCCUUAAAUUGAUUUUACUUAUCAAGAGUCAUUGAUGCAAAACCCAGGAUCAACUAACGUGAUAAAAAACUCCACAUAUAAUAUUAGUAUACAAAAGACUUCAAACCCUCAAUAAACUCUCUCUACUUAACCCACAUUAAAUCCGUGAAUUCAUACUAAGGUAAUUGGGAUGAAUUCAAUUGAUUAAAUUCCAUAAGAAUUUAUCUUUAUAAGUAAAAUAAACUCAAAGAUAGAUUGAUAAAACACCGCAAGGGAAUUAUCAUGACAAAUGUAAUUAAUCCUUCAAUCAAUCAAAAUGGUUGAAGAUAACCUCUCAAAGAGCCCUCAGAAUAGCUAAGGCUAAAACAAACUUGAAUUUUAUUAACUUGAACUAAAUUGAAUUAAAACCUAAGUGUUGCCUUUAUAUAGGCUUUGACCAUACUUAUUCUACUAGAAAAUGGAAUUAAAAUCCUAAUCAAAUUCCUAAUUCUACCUUAUUUAGGAAAUCAUUAAAAUAUCAAUUAAAAGACUAAAAUUUGAUUAAAACUUGAACUCUCCUCUCUUUAAUCAAUUAAAGUCUCCCAUUCGGAUUGAAUUGUCUAUGUUAUAUUUGGAUUGGACUCCUUGAAUAUUUAAUUAAUUUGUUAUAAAAGUUGGUGUUAAAGAUGUUCAAAGAACCCUUAUUCCUUAAGUAUAAUCAAAGCCCUUCUUUAAGUAGAAACUAAAUUCCUUAUUUAAGUAAAAAUCAAAGUGCUUCUUUAAGUCAAAGUCAAAGUCCUUUUUUAAGUAAAAAUCAAAUUCCUUCUUUAAGUAGAGUUCCAAUUAGAACUUUAGAUAGGAGAAGAAAUCAUUCUCCUUUGAUGUUUCUUUUUUCUUUUUGAUUUCUUGUGUCAUAAAAUCAAAAGAGGAUUCCAUGUAGAAUUCACAUUCUUCCUUUCUGGUUUCUUUCUCUUCAUGCCACAAUCCUAGUGCCAUUUGGAGUGGGAAUUUGAUUUCCUCAUAAAUUCCUCCUCUAUUUCUUUGGCCAUAUAUCCUCUGAUCUUGAUCUGAUCUGGAUCUGAAUCUANNNNNUUGAAUCUCAAUUCUUGAUCCUUGAAUCUUGAUCUUGAUUUUGAUUCUUGAUUCUUAAUUUUGGUCAUCUUCUUAGUUUUUUUCCACUCAUGGUCACAAGAGUCCUUUAGGGGAUGGGAAUCUUUUAUCCUGCAGGUGUGACUGUCAAUCCCACAAGAUUCUUGAAGCUUGUGGGUUCCUUGAGACUCACGAGCUUCUUCUAAUUUGAGGGCUUUACUCUUCCCAUAUAUGAGCACUAAUUCCUAGGGUUCAGCUUGGACUUUAGAGUGUGUUUUUAGCAUAGGGGGAUCACAUCAUACCCUUCUUAUUUGAAAAGAUUCAUCCUUAAAUCUUGACUAUCUUUAUCCCAGAGUUAUACUUGUGAGUAAUCUCUAAAGUCUUACAAGAUAUCAUCAUUGUAAAUAAAAGAAUUAGUAAAUAAACAUGACUCAUCUUGGCUGCAGGUUUCCUCUCAAUCUUUUGUAUCUUCCAUGAUAGGAUGCUCGACCUUUGCAGGCGCUUGAAUCUCCUCUUGACAAUGAGAGCUCUCUGUCACAUCAUUAUGUGAUUGGAUUGCCUCUUCUCUUAAUGCCUCUCACAUUAAUUCCCUCACUCAUUAAGAAGAUAUUGGAAUUUCCAUAUAGAAUACCAUAUUCCAUUAAAAUCUUCAUGAAAAUUCAUUGUGAUAAACCUGUAAGAAAAGUUAGUGGAAAAUAAGACUCCCUCAUAAUUAAUCGUGUUUACUUAUCUCUCAAUCAUCUUCCCUCAAGUUGAGCAUCAAGAUUGAUUCCUCUAGAAUCAAGGAACUUAAGUUUGACUUACGAAAGAAGAUUACAGAAUAAUGUUAUAUGUAAUGCAAAACAUAAGGACGAAGAUGGUGUAGGAUAGGUACAACGAAUAUCAAAUGUAUAUAUAUUAAUUUUAUUUAUUUGACGGGUAUGAAUGGAUAUAGUAAAUAUACAAGGGAUAACUAAUGGAAUUAAAAAAAUACAAUGCAAGAUAAUAGCAUUUAUCUUGAGUUUAAGCUAUAAUACCAAAUGAUGCAAAACUCAGGAUCAACUCGCAUGAUAAAAACCCACAUAUAGUAUUAAUAUGUAAAAAACUUCAAACUCUAAAUAAACCCUUCCUACUUAUCCCAUAUUCAACCUGUGAAUGCAAAGUAAGGAAUUGGGAUAAACUAAAUUGACUAAAUCUCUUAAAAAUUUAUUUUUAUAAGUAAAAUCAACUCAAAGAUAGAUUGAAAAAAUGUCGCAGGGAAAUUACCUUGAUAAAUAGAAUCAAUCGUUCACUCAAUCAAGAUGGUUAACGACAACCUCUCAAAAAACACUCACAAUAUUCAAGGUUAAAGCAAACUUGAAUUGAAUGUUUUUGGCAUAGUCGAGAUCNNNNNNNNNNNNNNNNNNNNNNNNNNNNNNNNNNNNNNNNNNNNNNNNNNNNNNNNNNNNNNNNNNNNNNNNNNNNNNNNNNNNNNNNNNNNNNNNNNNNNNNNNNNNNNNNNNNNNNNNNNNNNNNNNNNNNNNNNNNNNNNNNNNNNNNNNNNNNNNNNNNNNNNNNNNNNNNNNNNNNNNNNNNNNNNNNNNNNNNNNNNNNNNNNNNNNNNNNNNNNNNNNNNNNNNNNNNNNNNNNNNNNNNNNNNNNNNNNNNNNNNNNNNNNNNNNNNNNNNNNNNNNNNNNNNNNNNNNNNNNNNNNNNNNNNNNNNNNNNNNNNNNNNNNNNNNNNNNNNNNNNNNNNNNNNNNNNNNNNNNNNNNNNNNNNNNNNNNNNNNNNNNNNNNNNNNNNNNNNNNNNNNNNNNNNNNNNNNNNNNNNNAAUGUAGGUCAAGUAGGGAGGAUUUUUUAAGAGUUUAAGAUCUGCAUACUGAUGUGUAUGUGAAUUUUUUAUCAUAUGGUGAUCAUAGGUACGCAUACUUACAUAAGCAAUAAUCUUUCCAUGUUGCAUUAGUACAUAGUCCAACCCUUUAGUGGAAGCAUCACUAUAUAUCACAUAACCACCCAUGGCAUAAAAAAUUGUUAACACCAAUCUAGUGAUCAAACAAUGCUUAAGUUCGAUGUUCUUUUUAGUUAGCCGAGUGAACGGAGCUUCAAUGUUUGAAAACCUUCCACAAAUUAGUGGUAAUAUUCUACUAGUCCUAGGAAACUCUUAAUUUCAGUAAUAAUUGUUGGUUGCUUCCAAAUUAUUACAGCUUCGACCUUAGAGGGAUUUACAGAUACACCAUCUCUUGAGACAAUAUAUCCUAGAAAAAAGAUAUGUUCAAGCCAAAACUUGCACUUACUCAACUUAGCGUACAACCAAGCUUUUCUGAGGAUUUCUAAUGCAUAAGUCAAAUGUUUUGAAUGCUUUUCUCAGUUCUUGGAAUAUAUUAGGAUGUCAUCUAAGAAAAUAAUUAUGUACUGAUCCAGAAGGAGCUUGAAUACGCUAUUUAUUGAUUCCAUAAAUACUAUAGGCACAUUUUUCAAUCCAAAAGGCAUGACCAGAAAUUUGCAAUGGCCAUACCUAGCUUGAAAUGUUGUUUUAGUGACAUCCUCUACUCUAAUCCUCAACUAAUGAUAUCUUAAACGUAAAUCUCUUUUUAAAAACACUUACAUUCUCUGUAUAAGAUGAAAAAGCCCAUCUAUUUUCGGGAGUGGGUACUUAUUUUUAAUAGUUGCAUGGUUUAGAUCCCUAUAAUCUAUGCAUAGUCAUUUUGUUCCAUCUUUCUUCUCGACAAAUAAAACCAGUGUGUCCCAAGGUGAUACACUUGGUCGAAUGAACCUUUUGUCUAACAGUUCUUGUAGUUGCUUCUUCAGUUCCUCUAAUUCAGGCCUUGUCAUUCUGUACAGGGCUUUAGAAAUUAAUUGUGUUCCUAGUUGGAAUUCGAUUGAGAAUUUAACCUCUCUAUCAGGAAAUAGACUUGGGAGGUCUAUAGGGAAUACAUAAGGAAAAAUUUUGAUCACUAAUAUAUCCUGAACCAUGGCCUUUUUAUUCUCGUUCACUAUCAAACAUAUUAAUAGAAUCCAUAAAAGAAAAAAACAUUUUUAUUACAUUUAUUUUUCUGAAGCACUUUUUCAUCGUUUUUAAUAUUCGUGUAUUAUAGGACAAGAAUAUUAGUAAUUUUUUAAAUAGAAAAUGUUCUUUAUUGAGGAUCUUACUAAUGUAGUCCACAUUUGUAAGGUAGGAUGUCAACCAGUCUAUUCUUAAGAUUAUCUCAAAAUUUUUAAUAUUCAAUAGUGUUAAAUCUACCUCUAAUUCUCUAGUUGCAACUUUUAUAGUACAAGAUUUAUACACUACAUCAGCAUAUAAAAUAUUAUUCAUCACUGUGGACGUUGCUAAAAUCCAAUUCAAGGGAAUUGGAUUGACUUUCAAACACAGUGCAAAUGCAUGUGAAAUAAAUGAAUGUGUGGACUCAGGAUCAAUUAAAACUUUAGCGAGAUGUUUAUAGAUAGAAAACAUAUCCUGGAUUACGUCUAGUGUUGCCUCUGAAUCUUAAGUGUUGAUGGUAAAUACUCUGCCCUAAACGAGUGGUUUGUCUUGCUUUGUGAUUCUUAGGAAGUCUUAGAUAAGAUGUUGAGUAUUAUCGCACUUGAAAUAACCACACAUUGUACAAACAUAUUAGAGUAACAGGGUCGAUCAUCAUGAUUCCUACCACAGCGUGUGCAGCUUUGUGUAUUCAUGACCAUUGAGAUCCUAGGUGUGGAGAUAUGAACUGCCAUCUAUUUCUGACGCGAGGAGCCUCAAGAUCAAAACACAUUGAUCAUGAACCCACAUCUACACAAGUAUGCAAAAACUUAAUUCCCUAAUUAGACCCUCAUUACUUAAAUAACAUUCAAUAACUNNNNNNNNNNNNNNNNNNNNNNNNNNNNNNNNNNNNNNNNNNNNNNNNNNNNNNNNNNNNNNNNNNNNNNNNNNNNNNNNNNNNNNNNNNNNNNNNNNNNNNNNNNNNNNNNNNNNNNNNNNNNNNNNNNNNNNNNNNNNNNNNNNNNNNNNNNNNNNNNNNNNNNNNNNNNNNNNNNNNNNNNNNNNNNNNNNNNNNNNNNNNNNNNNNNNNNNNNNNNNNNNNNNNNNNNNNNNNNNNNNNNNNNNNNNNNNNNNUUGUGCUUAAUUUGUAUUUGAGAAACCCUAAUUAUGCGGACGUAGGCCAUACUAACUCAUCUAUUUUAUUCAGCAGCUUCUUAUCGUAAUUCGUAAAUUAUGUCGAUUUUUAUUUUGAUUUUAUUUAAUUUUAGUUGAUUUUAUUUUAAUCUAAUUAUUUAUUAUUAAACAAAUUUCAGAAGAACGAAAAACAUGAGAAAAUCCCGCGAUGAAGGGUUGCACGCACGGGCGCUUGUGCGCUGUGUGUGCGCACGUGUGACACAUCAAUCCUACAUGCAUCUUGUCGCGCGCAGGUAGGCCAUCCGCAUGUCACCUCGUACAGGGAGAGGCACUGCACAUUGUGCGUGCGCCGUCCGCACAAUAGACCUGCACGAAUAGGCCCCUUUACCCUUGGGGCCCGCGUACAGUAGGCCUGCGCGCACAGCACCCAUUGUGCAUAAGCCCUGGCGCGUGCAGGCUAGCUCUUGCACGCACGGCAGGGUAGUCCUGCACCUGCAAGAUAGCCCUGUAGCGCACUGGGUGGGUGAGGCCACUGUCGCCUCGGGCAGUCUGCCACCACCCACCUUGGGCGGCGUGCCGCUGCUUUUAACACCAUCGUCGAUGGAGGUCUUCUUCAUCUAUUUUUUAUGUUGAGCAUCUUUUUCUCUCUCUUUUCACUGGAUUUUACCACUUGGUGUAAAUCUAACGACCCCAAUUUUUUAUCAAUAGGGGCCAUUCCUUCCCAUUUUCUCCACACUUUCAUUCUUCCACGUUUAAGGAAUUAGAGAGAGAGAAAGAAAAUAAUUUAGAGAUAGAAUGAGAUAAAGAAAAGAGGAACAGUGUAAAAGAAAUUAUCGAAGUUUUAGUAUGGAAUUUAGUAUUUCUUCAAAUGUCUUAAAGGGUAUUUUUAGAUAAAAAGAAAAGAUAAAAUUGAUAAUUUGUUAUUUUGCCUGUUUUGCAUGCUUUGUGUUUAUAGGUUUAAUAAAUUGAAUUUCAUGAUUUCAAGCAUACUAUGUCACUUAUAGACGCUUGAUGACCUGCAUAUAAUUAUAAUAAUAUGAAACUGGUAAGGUUAUCUGGAAAAAUUAAAAGAAAAGAACAAAAAAAAAAAAGUAGAAUGAAGCAUGAAUGGUCCGAAGUAUGUAUAUGUAUUGACAUGCAUAAUGUAUCAAAUAUCUCAUUAGCCUUUUUNNNNNNNNNNNNNNNNNNNNNNNNNNNNNNNNNNNNNNNNNNNNNNNNNNNNNNNNNNNNNNNNNNNNNNNNNNNNNNNNNNNNNNNNNNNNNNNNNNNNNNNNNNNNNNNNNNNNNNNNNNNNNNNNNNNNNNNNNNNNNNNNNNNNNNNNNNNNNNNNNNNNNNNNNNNNNNNNNNNNNNNNNNNNNNNNNNNNNNNNNNNNNNNNNNNNNNNNNNNNNNNNNNNNNNNNNNNNNNNNNNNNNNNNNNNNGGAACCACUAGCUGACAUACCCAUUAAAGUUUAUGAGGAUCCUGCGGAUCCACAAAACUUAAGUACAUAAUCAUUCCCACACUCUGAUGAGUCCAAUAACAUAGUAAAAGAAGUGGCCUUCUUUUGUAUUUGGACAUCCUUCUUUGAAACGGUGCAAGAACCACCUCUUCAAAAGGCAAAAGCCUAUUUUAUUCUACAAUUUUUUUUACAACCAUGUGCAUUCAGACUUACACAGUUCAUUAAGUACUACAUUUUUUUUAUAAAACACAAUGUACAUCGCAAAUAAAUUGGUAAGAAUAUCUUCUAGAUUUUCCCUUGGGACAAUACCUAAUCCCUACAUCUUCUAUAAAACGUCCAGUUUUUUUACUCUUAGUUUUUUUUAUUAUUCUAAACUUUAGUUUCCUGAUACAUCUGAGCAUCUAUGUGAUAUCCCAAGUGCUAAUUAAGGUAAAUGGAUGUCAGACACAGAUUUAAAAUAACGAGUGUAUGAUAGAAUUUAUGCAACAGAACAAAAUCAUUAUAAAUCCCUUACAAAUACAUAUGAGUUCUAAUACAUACAUACACUGAGGCCAAAAGUGGUUGCAAAAUAAAAAAACAAAACAUAAGGGUCAUUUUCUUCACUAUGAUAUUGGACUCAUCGGAGUGCAGGAACAGUCAUGCACUCAGACUUGUGGAUCCAUGGGAUCCUCAUAGACUUCCAAGGGUAGGUCAGCUUCCGGUUCUUCACUUUUUUUCUCAUCUAGAGGCGGGGGCAUAGAAAGAGUGAAUUUCAUAUACUCAGUAAUGAAAACAGUAUUAAAUUAAUACCGUAAGAUUUCAAGAGUUAAUUAUUUUAUCUUACCAUUUAACAUCCUUGUUUACCUAUCUCAUAUUAUGGAAAAUUAUUUAUUUGUUAAGAAAACGAUACAUUAAUACAGAAAAUCAAACAUACAUCAUGCCAGAUAAUAGAGAAAAUUAAAUAAAUCGUGAAAUGUUCAAAUUUUCAUGUCAUGCUUCGUGAAGUCAUUACAACUUCAAUCUUUGAGGGCAGAUACAGAUUUCUAACUACCCGAGUAGAAUGACCAUAUUAGAUAUAGAUACAGCAUAACAGAUAUCUACAAUCACGAUAUUACUUAGUCUUGGGUGACCCUUACAGAUAAUGCGACACCACUCUCAUCAGAGGGUAUGUCGUUAUCCACUAGGAGCGUUCCUCUUACGUCUUUUUAGACAAGAUAGGGGAGGGGGAAACAGAUACCCCUCAGAGAUAAAAAUUCUAACGAGACAAUUGGUGCAAUAUGAUGUCAAUACAAAUACACUUUGAACCAAACAAGCUUCAUUCCACUUUUCUUUUUUUUUUCUUUUGUACUUUUUACUUUUACCUAUUACAUAUUAUAUUUAUUACAUGCAAAUUCAUUAAGUGUCUGCAAUUCACAUAACAUGCUUAAAACUCAGAAAAAUUCGACUCAUUUGAACACAGAGGCAUACAAAAUAGGCAAAAUAACAAUCAUAUUAAAUUAGUUUAUCUAAAAAUAUUCCUUAAGAUGUCAAAAGAAAUACUAGAUUUCUUAUCGAAACAUUGAUGUUUUCUCCUUCACCAUUCUCCUUUCUUUCUUUUCUUCCCUCAUUAGACUACUAUCUCUCUUUCUCUAAACCUUUGAAAAAUUGAAGAAUGAAAGUGUGGAGAGGAAGAAGGGGGAGGAAUAUUUAUAGAGUUUUAGAACCGUUGGAUUCGUGCUAAGUAGCGAAAUCCAGUGAAGAGAGAGGAAAAAAAGAUGCUCGACACAAAAAAUAAAGGAGGAGGGCUCCUCCACCGUCGGUGGUGGUGCGUCGCCCAAGGCAGCAGUGGUGCACUGCUGGCUAGCCUACAGGCGCACAAAAAUCCUGUCAUGCGCAUAGGGGCUAGCCUGCGUGCGCGUAGGGCCCAAGCGCAUUGGGCACUGUGCACGCAAGCCCCAGGCGCAUAGGUCCUAUCUUUGCAGGCCUGUUAUGCGGACGGCAUGCGCACAGUGUGCGGCGCCUGUCCACGCGCGAGGUGACGCAUGGACAGCCCGCCUGCGCGCGACAGGACGCGCGCAAGUUUUGACCCCUCACCAUGUGCGCGGAGUGGACGUGUGCACUGUGCGCACGUCUUGUCUACGUGCACGCACGCACAUCUCGUGACCACUGUGCGCGCAUAUGCGCGCAAACAGUGCUCAACACUCGCACUGGUAACCAGACUCAUCGCGAGAUUUUUUCCAUGGGAUUUUCUUCCCAAUUCGUCGUUUUUUUUAAUUUUUUUCUCAAUUUUCAUAUUUAAUUUAAAUCAGUUAGAAUAAAAUUAUUUAAAAUAAAUUAAAUUAAAUUAAAUAAAUAAAAAUCAACCAAAAUUACGAAUUAUGAUAAAUAUUAAGCAAUGUAAAUUAAUUAAGUUUAACGCAGCCAAAGGCCCGAAUAAAAGGGUUUCCAAAUCAUUUUAGCACAGUGAUGGGUGGGAUAUUACAAUCUAAAUGCAUCUUAGAGUUUAGCAUAAUUGAUAACACACUACCUCUUUCUUCGUGUGUUACACUCUUACUUCUAGUAUUGGUGCGGUAUUUGUUCUAUAGGACUCCUUGCAGUAUUUUAAAAUAAUAUUUGAGAACACUUUUAUUCAAGAGAAUAUAUUUGACACUCAACUUGAGGGUGGGAGAUAAAAAGGUAAAAAGCAAUAAUGUGUGAGAAUAUCAAACGGUAAAAGCCAAGUGAGUAAAACACGAGAGACCAGUGAAGAAUCUUUAUUUGUUAUUACUAACCUCUUUUACAGGGAACUCUUUUCUAAAGAUGUAAAGCAAGCACCAAAGCCCCAUCGACAUAAUACUCUUUAUGGAGGCUAUGCAAGCAAAACUGAGACAACUCAAUAAAAAGAUGGAUAAUCUAAUUGGUGGCCAAAGUGAGGAAAGGCACGGGACUGCAAACACCAAACAGCCUAGGACUCAACACCAUGAUGAUGAGGUCGGGUCCUGUAAUGAUGAGGAGGAAGAUAGGGCGGAGAAGAGAGAAGAAAAAAGGAAUAGUAAUAUCAACUCCAUCAAGAUGAUAAUACGACCUUUCAAUGGUAGAAAUGAUGCUAAAGCAUAUUUGGAGUGGGAGAAGAAUGUAAAACUAGCCUUUGACUGCCACAACUACCACGAGGAAAAGAAGAUCAAACUAGCAGCGGUAGAGAUCACUGACUAUGCCUUAGUGUGGUGGGAUCAACUACUCCUCAUUAGACGGCAUAAUGGAGAACGACUAAUAUCCUCAUUGAGAGAGAUAAAAGCAAUCAUGUGAAAAAGUUUGUACCCACUUACUACUAAAAAGAGAUACAUCAAAAGUCACAGCGUUUAACGUAGGAGUCUAUGUCCGUUGAGGACUACCACAAGGAGAUAGAGAUGGUUAUGAUCAGGGAAAAUAAAGAAGAAGAUCCUAAAGUAACUAUGGCGAGAUUCCUCGGAGGUCUCAAUAGGGACAUUGUUAACAUGGUGGAAUUACAACACUAUGUGGAGGUGGAGGACAUGGUCCACAUGGCCAUAUAGAUUGAGAGACAACUACAGAGUAAAGGUAAGAGAAUAUUCCAUACUACUUCUACCUUUAACUCAAGAUGGCUGAAGAAUGAGGAAAAGAAGGGAGUUGAGUCAACAAUCUAUGGUUACAUGCUCCCACUUCCACUCAGGAAUUUGGAGGCCUUGUAACAAACGAUCAGCUCUCUAAUGUUUUGCCUUAGUCCUCUUGCUGGUGAGGCAUUGGGAGAUGUAGUCGACUAUGUAUUUCUUUAUUCCCGGUCACCAGUAUUAACGCAUUAAGUCUCAAUACAUCUUGAUACUCCUGGAAUGGAUGGGUAGCUUGGAAGCAUGGGUGGUCUUGAGAACAUCUGCCCUUACAACGACAGGGACCAAAUUCAGUUUCAAAAUCUAAACAAUCCAUCAUCUGAAAUUCUAAAAUUAAGAAAUUUAUUAGAGGAGAACUUACCUAAAUUCUUGGUGAGUUUUUGGUCCGUGGACUAAGCUUCCCAGAUUUUCAUAAAGAGAUCCGACAGGGCUCAGAUUUGAGCAAGAUAGGUGUCUUUGUCAUAGUAGCUAAGGCAGAGAGACUGCAUAGUAUCCAUCAAUUUCCAAGUGGAGGCCAUGGUUUGGGCCAAUACUAUAGACUUCUUUUGACUUAGCACAUCUGCAACAACAUUUCCUCUACUGGGGUGAUAGAUGAUCUUACAAUCAUAGUCCUUCAGAAGAUCCACUCAGCAUCUCUGUCUCAUAGUUAACUCCCUCUAGAGAAGAUGUACUUCAAAAUCUUAUGGUCAGUAUAAAUCUCGAAAGUUUGACCAAACAGGUAGUGACACCAUAUCUUUAGGGCAAAAAUGAUGGUCGUCAACUCUAGGUCAUGGGUAAGGUAGUUUCGCUCAUGAGGUUUCAACUGUCGGAAUCCAUAAGCAACUACUUUACCAUACUGCAUCAAGACACACUCUAAGCUAAUAUGAGAUGCGUCACAAUACACCUGAAAUCUUCUAAUAUUGUUAGGAAGGAUCAAUACAGGAGUAGAUGUGAAACGAUGCUUCAAUUCCAUGAAGCUUUCAUUGCAUUCGUAAUUCUAAACAAAUGGUACACUCUUUCAGGUGAGUCGAGUCAAUAAAGCGACAAUCUAAGCAAAUCUGUCAAUGAAUCAUGGAUAGUAACCUACCAAGCUAACGAAACUACGUACCUCAGCCACAUUAGUGGAUGGAGUCUAGUUGACCACUAUUUCAACCUUGGAUGGAUCUACAAAAACUCCUUCACUCAAAAUUACAUGACCAAGGAAGGAAACUUGAUCCAACCAGAAGGAGUAUUUGCUAAGUUUAGCAUACAAUUGGUUCCGGCGAAGGGUCUCUAACACUUCAGUCAAGUGUACUGGAUGCUCCUCCAGACUCUUAGAGUACACUAAGAUGUCAUCAAUAAAAAAGAUGACGUACUAAUCUAGUGCAUGCUAGAAAAUUAUGUUUAUGAGGUCCGAGAAGGUUGCAAAGGCAUUGGUUAACUUGAACGGCGUUACCCUGAAUUCGUACAAACUGUACCUACACUAGAAAGCAGUCUUCAGAAUAUCUUAUUCCUUGACUCUCAGCUGGUAAUAUCUCAUUCUGAGGUCAAUCUUAAAGAAGACUGUAGCUCCUUACAAUUGAUCAAAGAGGUGGUCGAUCCAAGGUAAGGAGCACUUACUUUUAACUGUCACUAGGUUGAGUUCCUGGUAGUCCACACAAAGUCUGAGGAAACCAUCUUUCUUUUUCACGAACAAUAUGGGAGCGCCCCAAGGAGAAUGACUAGGGCGGAUAAACAUCCAGGUAAUUAGUUCAGAAAGCUGAUUUUCUAACUCCGUAAGUUCAGCUUGAUUCAUACGAUAUGCGGGCUUCGAGAUUGGUUGGGUUCUGGGCAGCAGUUCAAUUAGGAACUCUACUUCUCGUGGGGGAGGCAAACUAAGAAGUUCAAUGAGAACGACAUCUGAAAAAUUGCAAACAAUCGGUAUAGAACACACAGCAGGAUCAACACCCAUAUUCUUAUUUAUUCAAUUGUUAGGAAAAAUAAUAACAAUAGAUUUUAUUCCUUUUUCACGGACCGCAAAGUUAUAAUUUUACUUUCACAAUCGCUUAUUGCUUUAUACUUUUCUAACCAGUCCAUUCUUAAUAUCACAUCAAAUCCUGAAAAAUUUAACAAUAUUAUAUUCACAAAUACUUCUAUCUCUGAAACUUUUAUCUUAUAAUCUUUAUAUACACAGUGAGCUGCUAAUAGUCCCCUAGAGGAAGUUUCUACUAUUAAUAUUUUUGCUAAAGGUUCUGGCCUAAAAUCAAGAUUACAAGUAAAUGCACAGGAAAUAAAAGAGUGAGUAGCACUUAUAUUGAUCAAAGUCUUGGCAGAAGUAUCAUGAAUAGAAAGCAUACCCUGAAUAAGAACAGGAGUGGGGAGAGCAGCAGGUUCAUCUAGGUGGUACACACAAGCUUGUGCUACAAGCUUGGUUAUGUCCUUCGGUCGUUGGGGGUAAUCUUUUAUAAGAUGUUGGGUGCUUCAGCACCAAUAAUAGGCGUGAUUGAUAUGUCGACAUGGCAAGUCACCAUGCGAGUGACCACAAUGCUGACAGGGUUGGUUAGGUCAGGCAAGCUGAGCUACAGGUGAAGUCAAGGUAGGGGAAAUGGCAACUCUAAUUCGUUUAUUGAGGUGGCUACUUACUGGAUCUGGCAAUCUCCUUCUAGGCCGUUAGGGUUGUUGUUCUUGGGCAUGUGAAAUGAGGUCUUCAGCCAAUUAGGCAUGUUCUAGCACCUUCGCAUAUGAGCUGGGUCUCAGCAUUGCAACCCAACCAUUGAUAUCAGCACGAAGGCCCUUUAGAAACUUCCUAGCUUUUUUACUUUCAGGGGGUGACCAUUAAAGAGGUGAAUCUAGAUAGUUGGACAAAACGGGCUGCAUACUAGGCAAUCGUUAGGUUUUUUUGGCGAAGAUUCUAAAAUUUCUACUCCUUUUUUUCCCAAACAUAGGCAGGAAAGAAAUUAUCACAGAAUGCACCCAUCAAAACUUCUAAGGUGGUAGGGGUAGGAAGUAUUUCCUUGUUAAGUCGUCACUAGUGUUCUGCUUCACUGUUUAGCAUAAAGGCUGCUAGGAAAACUUUAUGUUCCUCAGUUAGGUCUAAGAGAGAGAAAAGUUUUUCUAUCUAUAGGAUCUAGACUUCGGCUACUAAGGGAUCAGGGCCACCUUCGAAAUGAGGCGGGUUAAGCUUCCUAAACUCCACUAUGUUGUGGGAAAUGGACCUUUCAGUCAUUUGGUAUUCUGGGGCAGGAGGUGGAUAAGGGUUGGCUUGAUUUUUUCCUACGGUUGCAAUCAAUUUCUGGACGGUUAUGAAAAGUUCGGCAAAUUCAGCCUUGGUCGAGUGAUCUAGGGUUUCAGAUCGCUCAGUACGCUCUACGAAUGGUCUUCCUUGCGUCAUUCCUAUAAAAGAAAAGAAGAUACGAGUUAGUGGUCUGAUUUUUACAAAUAGGACUUAUUCUUCCUAGGUACUCUAAGGGUCUUUCGACCUAAGGCCUCAGUGUAAGGGAUUUGAUCCAUGUAAUUCUGCUCUAAUACCAUCUGUGACAUUCCAAAUGCUAAUUAAGGCAUGUGGGUAUCAAAUACAGAAAUAGAAUUAUGAGUGCAUGAUAAAAUUUUAUAUAGCGGAAUAAAUUAAUACAUAUCCUUUACAAAUAUAUAUGAGUUCCAAUUACAUAUAUAUAAUUGAGGCUAAAAGUGGCUACAAAAUACAAAAUCAAAAUAUAAAAGAGGGUAACUUCUUUCAUUACACUAUUGGACUCAUCAGAGUGCGGGAACAAUCAUACACUCAAGUUUUGUGGAUCCACGGGAUCCUCAUAAACUUCAAUAGGUAAGUCAGCUGGCAGUUCCUCAUUUUAUUCCUCGUCGGGGGNNNNNNNNNNNNNNNNNNNNNNNNNNNNNNNNNNNNNNNNNNNNNNNNNNNNNNNNNNNNNNNNNUCGGGGGGGGGGGAGGGGGAGGGCAUGAGAAGAGUGAGUUCUAUAAAGCUCAGUAAAAAAAAUAAUAUUUAAAUAAUAUCGUAAGGUUUUAAAGGUGAAUUAUUCUAACAUAAAUACUUAUCAUUUGGUUAUUUCGAAGACCUAUCUUAUAUUAUGAAAAUAAUUUAUUAAUUAGAGAAAAUAAUAUGUUAAUAUAAACUAACACACAUCAUACCAGAUAAUAGAGAAAAUCAAAUAAAUUAUGAAAUGCUCAGAUUUUUGUGUCAUGCUUCACAAAGUUAUUAUAACUUCCAUCUCUGAAGGCAGAUAUAGAUUUCUGACUACCCAUAUAGAAUGACCAGAUUAGAUACGGAUAACGAUAAUUUACUCAGGCACAUUUCCACUUAGCCAAACCAUGGUACGAUCUAUGAUCUACGACCACGACCGUACAAACUAUAGUGGCCCUAUCAGAUUUCUAUAAUCACGAUAGUACAUUUCCACUUAAUAAUUUUUGUUGUGUGCUCGUUCCGAGCCUGUUGUGCACCCAUGCGCGCGCACAAUUCACAAGUGCCCACACGGAGAGCACCCCUUUCUCGCUGGAUUUUCCCACGAGAUUUCUUCCACUUUGCCGUUUUUUUCUAAAUUCAUUUUUAAUCGUACUAAAAUAAAGUAAAAAUAAAAUUAAUGUAAUUAAAAUAAAAUUAAAUAGAAUUAAUUAAAAAUAAAAAUUUAAAUAAUAUAAAAAUAAUUAAAAUCGGUAUAAUUCACAAAUUACAAUAAUAACUUGUGGAAUAAAUUAAAUGAGUUUAAUGCGGCCUAAAGGCCUAAAAAAAUAGGAUUUCUUUGAAAUCAAUUAAGUACAGUGAUGGGUGGGGUGUUACAGUAGGACUCUACUUCUUUUGUUUUUUCUUUUCUCCCUUUAUCCACAUACUUUUUAUUCCAAUGAGGAUUCUUCUUGAUGAUCGCCUAGAAAAAAGAAGUACAGCUUGAGAAUAACUCUUUCUGUUGUAAAAACAACCUCUCUCACGUGUGAGGGAACCUUGCGGGUGGGGUUGCCCCUCCUACACAUGUGUUUGCCCACACAUGUGAACAAGGACAUUUACAUGAGUGGCAUGUGAGAUCUGUGACUUUCCUUGGCUGGUCUACCUUUAUUUGACCUUCUCUUAGGCCUCCCAAGUGAGCUCAUCAGUUACCCAUUAUUGGACCAAUAAGUUGAAAAAUAGUUAAAACUUCACCCAACUCCUCAAGAUUGGGCUUAGGGGCAUUUAGAUCCUGCUUCCUAACUCUCAAAGAUCAUCUUGAUUAUUUUUGGGCUGCCUUUGGACUUGAGAUGGAUUAGAAAAUAAUAAUGAAUUAGGAAAUGAGUUAGGCUCCAAGUAGGUUUUCACUCUAGUGCUUGGGCCAGGAGUCUCUAAAGAAGGAAAGAAAUCCUUGUGGGAUUGGGAUUCUUCACGAAAAUUCUUCUCGAUACUGUCUGCGGGUACGCGAGGGUUUUCAAUUCUACGAGGUAACUCCUUUUUCAUGUUCAAAUUCAAAUAAUUCCCCCUUCUUUGAAAAAAAUUCAUCCUUGAAUCUUCACCUAUAUCAAAAAAAGAUAGAUUUGAAACAUUAAAAGUAGUAAACACUCAAUCCUCACCUGGUAGGUCAAUCUUGUAAGCAUUGUUGUUGAGUCAUUCCAAGACUUGAAAUGGCCCAUCACCCUUAGGAUCUAAUUUAGAUUUUCGUUAUUUAGGAAAUCUUUUCUUCUGCAUAUAAAUCGAAACCUAGUUCUUGGUUGGAAGACAACCCAUUUUCUCCCCUUGUUAGCAUUAUGGGUAUAAGAUUCAUUUCGCUUCUGGAUGUGUUGUCGUACCUUCUCAUGUAUAGUUUUAAUAAGGUUGGCUCUUUGCUGGCCAUCUGUAUUCUUAAUUCCAACAAAGGUAUAGGCAUUAGAUCAAGCAAAGUUAAUGGAUUACAACCAUAGACAAUUUCAAAAUGUUAAAAUCUUGCAGAGGUAUGAAUGCUACAGUUAUAUACAAACUCAACUGUAGGUAAACAAUCUUCCUAAAUUCUCAUAUUUUGACCAACUACAACCCUUAUAGAGAAUCUAAGGUUCUAUCGACCACCUUAGUUUGGUAAUCUACUUGGGGGUGACAUGUAGUGGAAAAUAGUAUUUCAGUCCCUAGUUUACCUUAUAACACUCGCCAAAAGUGGAUAAGGAACUUGGCAUCCCUAUCACUUAUGAUAGUCUUGGGAAUGUCGUAUAGCCUCACAACAUCCCUAAAGAACAAAUUAGUAAUAUUUGUCGCAUCAUGAGUCUUAUGGCAAGCAAUGAAGUAUGUCAUUACUAAAUCUGUCCAUUACGAGAAAUAUAUUCUCACUACCUCUCCUCAUUCUAGGUAGACCCAAAGCAAACUAUAUGAAAAUAUAUAUUCAAGGUGUUAUAGGUCAAACCUAGAUUUAGUUUUCCUACAUGCAAUACAUUAGCUACAUAUGCACUAACAUCAUUUUCAUGUUAUGCCAAAUAAAAAUACUCGUGUAGAAUAUUAAAGUCUUGUACCCAAAAUAACUCGUGCGUCGCCUAAUAUGUGUUUCACGAACUAGCAAUUCUCUAAGUAAACAAAUAGGCACAACAUAGCUUACUUUCCUUAAGAAGGAAACCAUCAUAUUUAUAAAACUUUUGGAAUGCAUAAUGCUCACAUACAUGAUAAACAAGGAAAAAAUCUUUAUCAUUCACAUAUAUAACUUUGAUAUGUUCAAAUCCUAAGAAUUUAAAACUUAAUGUAGCAAUUAAAGCAUACAUUCGAGACAAUGCAUCAACAACAAUAUUAUCUUUACCAUGUUUAUACUUGAGGACAGAAGAGAAUGACUUGAUGAACUUUACUCACUUACCAUGUCAACGGUUGAGUUUACCUUGGUCCUUUAGAUGCUUUAAGGACUCAUGAUUAAUGUGAAUCACAAAUUUCUUCGAUAGUAGGUAAUAUUGCCAUACCUCUAAUGAUCUUACCAAGGCAUACAACUCCUUAUCAUAGGUUGAGUAAUUUAGUAGCGCACCACUAAGUUUUUGCUAAAAUAGGAUACCGAACGCCCUUCUUACAUUAGAACUGCUCUACUACCCACACCUAAAGCGUAACAUUCAAGCUCAAAAGUUUUAUUAAAUUUAGGUAAAGAAAGAAUAAGUGCAUAAAAUAGUUAUUCUCUUAAUAAAGUAAAAAUAGAUUCCUGUUUUUAGUCCAUACAAACUUUACAUCUUUCUUAAAAAAUUCAUUUAAUGGGGUUGCAAUGGAACUAAAAUCUUUAACAAACCUGCAAUAAAAGCUUGUCAACCAAUGGAAUCUUUUUACCCCAUUGGUUGUUGUUGGAGUAGGUCUGCUUUCACUUUAUCCUCAUCCACCUCAAUGUUUGUGCACUUACCACAAACCCUAAAAAUAUUAAUUUAUCACUGCAAAAAGUCCAUUUCUUAUCAUUAAAAUAUAACUGCUCAUUCCUAAGAACCUUAAGGACAGACUGGAUAAUAUUGGAGGUACUCCUUUAAGGACUUACAAUAUAUUAGGAUAUCAUCAAAGUAAACUACAAUAAAUUUACCAAUGAACGGUUGUAGGACAUAGUUCAUAAGUUUCAUAAAGGUACUAAGGGCAUUUGACAUACCAAAGGGCAUUAUUAAUCAUUCAUAUAGAUCAUACUUCAUCUUAAAUGUGGUCUUCCAUUUGUCCCCCAGUUUCAUCCUAAUUUGACAAUAACUAUCUCUUAAUAUCUAUUUUAGUAAAAAUAAAAGAAACACUAAGUUCAUCCAACAUAUCAUCCAGCCUAGGGAUGGGGUAUCUAUACUUUACUAUUAUUUUAUUGAUGACUCUGCAACCAACACAUAUCCUUCAAGAACCAUCCUUAUUAGGUGUUAGUAGCAUAGGAACAACACAAGGGCUCUAGUUUUCUCUAACAUGUCCCCUUCUUAACAACUUCUUUACUUAUCAUUGAAUUUCCUUCAUUUCCUCAAGGUUACUUCGAUAGACAGAACGAUUUAAAAUUGAUGCUCCAGGGACAAAAGUCAAGCUAGUGCUCUAUCCUUCAGAGUGGUAGAAGAUCAUCUAGGAUUUUCUCUAAAAAGACAUCCUCGAACUCCUAUAAAAAAAAGGAAACAAGACUAGACAAUGAAGAGGUUAAGGUCAGAUAAGUUUAAAUAAGCCUCUUUAUACUGAAGCACAAUUAGACUCUUUUUCUCAUAAAUUACUCGCCUCACCUCUCAUGCAGUCAUAAAAAGACUUUUUUUUCUUUUCUUUCUCUCACUUUCUCUCAUGGGCCUUUAUUCUUUUUUCUUUUAGGUCUCUUUUUCACUCAGUGGGUCAUUCUUUUUUCUUUCAAUCUCUUUCUCUCUCAAUGGGUUAUUCUCAAUUUUUUUCAGCUUCUUUUUCUCUUAAUGGGUCAUUUCUUUUCUUUUCAGCCUCUUUUUUUCUCAGUGAGCCAUUUUUUUUCUUUUCAACCUCUUUUCUUUCUUUUUCUAUUUUUUGUUCUAAAUGUACAUUAAUAGCUCUCUUGACCUUGAUUUGAUCCUUAUGUACCCCUUUUAGUGAUAGAGGUGUAAAAAUAUGAUUUAGACUUUUUUACGUAACGAGUAACAGUUGGUGAAACCGUUAUGUUGUACUUGUCUAUCAAACUACUAAGAUCUCCUAACUAUCAAAUGACUGGCAUACAUAGGUACAACAUCACAACAUACCUCAUUCUUAUAUUUGUUGAUGGAGAAAGAUACCAUGACUUACUUCGUGACUUUGACUUCACCACACUCAUGUCACCAGUGUAAUCAGUAAGGACUAUGGUGCUUAGUGCAUGUUAACUCCAANNNNNNNNNNNNNNNNNNNNNNNNNNNNNNNNNNNNNNNNNNNNNNNNNNNNNNNNNNNNNNNNNNNNNNNNNNNNNNNNNNNNNNNNNNNNNNNUAAAGCAACAUGUAUGGAAUAUGUUCUUCUGUUGUUUAUUGUUUGUGCUCGUAAGUUAUAAAUUUAGAGCUCUUUGAACUACAAGGACAUUAUCCCAUAUUAGAGUUUCUUUAAUUGUUUGAGAUAUAGUAAAGCACCUGCAAAAAAAAGGCUAGUAAAAAAAAAUUCCUCCUUCUUACCUUCACUUGUGUUUACUUCAUAAUCUCUUACACUCAACUUCUUCCCUCAAGUUGAGCGUUUGAAAUCUAAUUCUCUUAAAUCAAGAUCUGCACGUUAGUCUUAAAGACACAACAAUAAGUCUUAAGGGGAUCUUGUUUUUAGAAGCUUAAAAUUAAGCACACAAAUGAAGAAGUUGUGAUGCUUUUAUUAAUAAUAUGUUAAGUAACUUGAAUGCAAUAAGCUACUUAGAUGUGUCUUGGAAUAAAAAUAUAAUUAGAAAAAAUAAACUUAGAACACAAAGAAACAAAUAUGGAUUUAAAGUGUAAGGGAUUUGAUCAAUCUUGAUGGAUAUAACAAGUAUCUUAUUCCUAAUUAUUCCACCCCAAUGAUAACUACGCUCUACGAUUGAUUAAAUUUCUUUAUUUAAAUGUAAAUCCAGACUCAAUGAUGUUGUGCUUGAAAUUAAAAUAUGAAGCAAAUGGUUUUCGCACACUUUUUGGUGAGGUAAUCUUCCUUUGAAAAAUAAAGGUUUUCAUCACACUGAUAGGCAAUUAAUCUCCCUUAGCUUGUAAAUGCAAACAUAAUGAAUGUUGAAUUGUCUUAUGAUGUGCAAUCACUUUUCUUUGAUUUUUUUGGAUUUUUUUAACUAAUUAAACAAAUGAACUUCUAUUUAAAAGAAUAAUUAGAUAAUAUCAAAUGGGAUGCAAUAAAAUGGAUUCAAAAUUAGGUGUUUGAUUGCUAAUUAUGCAACAAUAAUAUGCAAAAAAAUUUAAGAUAGUAGAUUCAAUGGUGCCUAAGCUCUGAUACUAAAUGAUGUGGGACCUCCAGGAUCAAAACACCUUGAUCAUGAACCCACAUCAACAGUAGCAAGCUGAAACUUAAUUUCCUAAUUAAAUCCUCCCUACUUGAACUAUAUUCAACAAUUUGAAUGCAAACCAAGUUGAUUGGGAAUUAAAAUAAGGAACAAAAAAGCCAUUACGACUUACCCGAUAAGUUGAUUCAGAUUUUUUGACUCAACAAGAUGGUUGAAGCAACCUCCCUUGAAGAACACUCACUCUCACACAUUAGUAAAACUUCUUAUAAAGAAUAAAACUUAAAGCCUUAAUUGAAUAAUCUGAAUUGUUGUGAUUAUAGCCUAAGGUCAGGCCUUUAUAUAAGCAUUCACCAGAAAAAUUCUAUAAAAACUCAAAUACUUGACUUUUAUUCAAACUCUAUCUAUAUUCUAAGUUUAUCUAAAUCUUAAGAUUAAAAUAAUAAUUAAAUACAUUAAAAUAAUCAUUUAAAUAAUAAAAUAAUACUUAAAAUAUCUAGAUAGAUAAUCCUCCUCUCUUUGGUCGGUCCUUGUGAAUUAUUCUGUGUGCGUUUUUGCUUCAUUUAGUUGUAAAGUCAUAAGAAACAUGUGAUUAAAAUAAAGAAAAAGCUUUCUCCUUCAACUCGCAUGAGUAAGGCCAUUGGGAUUGCCUUACCGCAGGUUUACAUCCAUUUGGUUUUAUCUUUUCUCCCUUUAUUUGCAUUCUUUUCAAUCUUAUAAGGAUUCUUCCCAUUGAUCGCUUAAAAAGAAGAAGUGCAACUUACGAAAGACUCUUAUUGCCAUAAAAACGACCUCCCUCACGUGAGAGGGAACCCCACGAGUGAAAGUUAUCUCUCCUGCACAUGUGUUUGCCUGCACAUGUGAACAAGAACAUUCACAUGUGUGCCAUGUGACAUCCGCGACUUUUCAUGUUCGGUCGACCUUGAUCUCGCUUUCUAUUGGGCCUCCUAACUGAGCUCUUCACUUACCCAUUCUUGGACCAAUAUGUUGAAAGCUAGUUGAAACUUAUUCUAACUUUUAACUUAUUAGCUUGACUCCUCGUGAUUGGGCCUAAGGGCAUUUAGAUCCUAUUUCUAACUCUUAAAUAUCAUCUUGAUUAUUUUUAGGCAGUCUUUAGGCUUGAGAAGGAUUAGGAAACAAGGAGGAAUUAGGAAAUGAGCUAGGCUUCAAGUUGGUUUCCUCUUUGGUGCUUGGGCUGUGGGUUUCUAAAUAAAAAAAUAAAUCCUUGCGGUAUUGGGAUUCUCCACAAGUAUUCUCCCAAGUACUGUCCGCAAGCACGCGAGGGUCUUCGAUUCCGCAAGCUAACUCCUUUGUCAUGUCUAGAUUCAUAUUAGUCUUUUGUCCUGAUAAUUAGGGACUAGCAAUGGCCUUUUAUUAUUUUAAAAUAUCUAGGAGCUCUCUCCUUAUUCUUUAUUUAGUUAUUCGACCACUUGAACCUUUUCUAAGACUCCUCGAUAUGUCACUAGAACGAACACAAUUACCUAACGAUAAAGGUCAGGCCUCAGUCCUCUCUCAAACCUUCGGGCCUUCUUAGCUCAUUCAUCAUCAUGUCCAGGGAAAACCACCUCAACUUAAUGAAUUUUUCUAAUUACUCUGCCACUGUGAACUUUGCUUGGUGCAACUCUAAGAACUCAUUUCUUUUUCUACUGUCUAAUGAAAUUAGGAAAAUACUCGGCGUUGAAUGCCUCUAAGAAAAUUUCCCAGGUAAUGGGAGGAAUCAUAGCUCUUUUCUUCAAGUUCCACCAAUGUUCUACUGCUCCUUUUAACAUGAAAAUAACUAAUUGAACCUUCUAUUUGGUAGUGACUUCUAUUACUUCUUUUUAAAAUAGUUUUUCUAUCUCUUUAAUCCACACCUCUACUAUAAGUAGAUCAAAAUGGCUUGUAAACACUGGGGGACCCAACUGUUUAAACCUCUCAUUGUUGCUGGAGUCAACACCUGCAUGAACCAUAUUUUGAUGUUGAUAGUAGGGUGGUUCCGGGCAUAAUUCUCACUCUUGAACAAUUGUCACUAGGCUCUCCACGACUUGGCACAGCUUGUUAAAAUAUUCCUAAUUGAGACCUUUUUGGGUUGGUUUAACCUUGUGGAGCAGGGGGGUGACCCUUAAUGAGUUAGAAGUGGUGUUUAUUGAACUGGGGGCCAGUCUUGAGGAGCUAGGGUUGGCCCUCUCUAAGGUCGACCUCUGCCUCGUUCACAUUUCUAUUAUUCUUGCAAUUCAAAGGUAUUUUCACCUAAGAUCAUAAGAGAAAUUCAAUUUCCUUCUAAUCUAUAUAAAUUCUCAAGUCUAUUGUACAAAUGAUGGUCCUAGGAAAGUUGUUGUGAUACCCACUAUAACAACCUGUGAUUUUGAUGAAAUCACAAGUAUCUAAACAUCUUGAACAUUUAAAAUGCAAUGUCAAAUUUGUAUGAAAAUGCAAAAUACAAAUUUAUCCAAACUCUCAUCUUUCUAAUUUUAGUUAGAUCUAAAUAAUUAAAAUAGUCACGUAACAUAUCUCUAAUCUCAAAAAACUAAGUAAUACUUCAGAGUCUGAAAACUUAUAUAUCAAUACUAAUCAAAGAUAACAUAAAUCUCAUAUACUUAGAGGGUCUAGUCACUAUCGUAACUAGUCUUGUAUUUGCUCUUAGGUUUCAUGUUCUUAAAAAGAAUGAAAAAGAUUGAGCUGCACAUGCUUAGUACGAACCAUUUAGUACCCUAACCUGCAUAAAUGUAAAUAGUACAAGUGAACCCUCAGUAUACUGUAUCUAAGUGAGACCGGAUUCAUUUCUAAAUGAGUGUUACUAAUCUCGAAUAUCUUAUUUAUUCGAAUUAUUCAUCACUUUAAAACAUUUUUCUAGACAUUGUUAAGUAUUUUACUUUUCUAUUUCCCUGUUAAUAGUAAAAUCAAGUAAUCACUCAACAUUUUACCCAUAAUGCAAUAUAAUUCACUUUUUCUUUUACUUUAAUAUCACUUAUCAACUAUAUAAUGACAAUUUAUAACUAUAACCGAUAGUGCGUCAAAACAUCUUCAUUGUCCAUUUUUUAGUACUAAAUUGAAUUUUUUUAUAUUUGAUUUAAGCUAUUUUAUUCAUUUUGAUACAGGAUAGAAGAUGGAGCCCUACGUCAGGAAAACAACAUAAACAGAGCAGAUUUUGUGAAGUAGUUGUCAAUCAUUGUAUAAGUUUUCGUCAAGGCUUAAACCCUGCAGCAAAGGCAGAUUUUGGCUCACACACAAUCAAGCCUCGGGCAAGGUUAAUGUAUCAGAAAGGGCUAUAAGUCUCAGUACACCAGAUUAAGCCUCGACCAAGCCUUAAACAUGUGCAGCAACAUAUUUGACAAAAAAAAGAUGCACUGUCGAAUUAAAAGAAGAAAUUUAGUUGCGCCCGAAAAAGGAAANNNNNNNNNNNNNNNNNNNNNNNNNNNNNNNNNNNNNNNNNNNNNNNNNNNNNNNNNNNNNNNNNNNNNNNNNNNNNNNNNNNNNNNNUACUAAGCCCACCAUGAGUGGCUGAUAACAUUCGUUGCUAGUUACAGAUUUAUUGAAAAUUCCAAUUUGAAUUAUGAGAUCUAAUUGCUUUAUUUAUGAUUUCAUUAAAGCUUCAGUAUUUGCUUAUUUCUAUGUGUGUAUUAUUAUUGUUGCUUGUUAACUGUUUGACUAUGGCUGGUUAGAUGCGUGACAAGGCAAUAUACUACCAUUUGAAAAUCCUGAAUCCGUAAUUAUUUGGGUUAUUUCGAUACUCAAUAGUAAAUUAGUCUUUAAGCUAAGGGAAUAGGUGAUCUGAUUGAACAGGUCACGUGGUUGAAUCUGACAACUAGAUACAGGUUCUUUUAGUUCUCAAGGCUGUUGAUAGAUUAAAUUCUAUAAACAUUUCCAAGACUAUUUAUCAAUAAAAAUAAACUAACAAAUAUUUUUUGGUUAAUUAAGGAUUAAGGAAGAAUCGGUUGUCGGAACAUUUUCGAUAACCAAAACUAGUUUGUAGAGCUUUAGUAAGACCGAUCAUUAUAUCGAUGGUCAAUUUCACUAUUGGAAUCUAGCUACUUCUUUAACUGGGAUUAUUCUUAUAUCUGUUAUUUCUUUGAUUGUCUUCUGUUCCAUUGUGUAAAUUUUAGCUUAGUAGUUUGUUUUUUUUCAUCGUUUAAACUUGAAGAAAAACCCCCUGCUCUUGUUUUCGUUGGUCAAAGAAGAAUACAAUAUCCGAAUUUGUUUUCAACAGAUAUUGCAAUGCCACAAGAGUAUGAAAAUAUAAUGACCUUAGUCUCUAAUAAAUAAGAGCAGAACUUUUUCAAGACAAACGCAACAGCAAGUAGUUAUUUUUCAGUGGUCGAGUAGUUGACUUGAACACUAUCUAGAUAUAAUACCCUGAAACCUCUAUAUUCGGAUAUUGUAUUUUUAAAUUUUAUAUUUUUGUGAAGAGGAAGGAGGGGAAGGUGCUUUAAAUAGCCUUCCCAAAUGAAUGUGAUCUGUUGGAUCACAUGUAAUUAAUGGUAGCCAUUGAUCGGCCAACUGGCUAAGUGGCCACCCCCACAUGGCGUGCAUGUGUGCCAUGUCGUAACCAUGCAUGCCCAAUAGUGGGCUAACAAGACAACCCAUCCGUCGAGGGUCACGCAAAGUGACCUUGCAAGUGGUUGCACACUUCAGGCGGACAACGCGUGCACCCAAGCUGACGCGACAGUCCCUGCAAACGUACAGGCAUGCGCGAACAAUCACAUGCGACGUCCCUGCGUGCGCAGCAAACACGUGGGCAUAGUCACAGCCUUUCACGCAGGUUCACAGGUCCUUUCCCUCCAUUUUUCUGUUUUUGUUUUAUCUUUUAUUCUUUUUAAAAAAUUUUAAAUUCUUUUUAGCUAAAACAAAAAUUAAAAAUUAAAAAUAAAUUCAUGCACAAUAUAAUUUAAAUGCAUAUUAAAAUUAAAACACUAUAAUUUAUUAAAAUAUAAAAUUUAAAAAUACAAUAUCCGAAUAUAGAAGUUUCGGGGUAUUAUAUCUAGAUAGUGUUCAAGUCAACUACUCGACCACUAAAAAAUAACUACUUGCUGUUGCGUUUAUCUUGAAAAAGUUCUGCUCUUAUUUAUUAGAGACUAAGGUCAUUAUAUUUUCAUAUUCCUGUGGCAUUGCAAUAUCUGUUGAAAAAGAAAAAAGCCAAAUCAAGACUAAUUCGAUGGAUACUCUAACUGCAGGAAUUCGAUUUAGAAAUAAGAGACAAAAGGGGUAUGGAGAAUUUUAUUGCUGAUCACCUUAGUCAUCUGCUGUUAAAGGAAGAGCUUAUGCCAUUGAAAGAUGAAUUUCCAAAUGAACACCUUUUCUGGGUAACGCUGUGGACACUCUGGUACGCUGACAUAGUCAAUUAUUUGGUCACCAACACAUUGCCAGCUAAAUUGUCCAGAGCACAAAAAGAUAGAAUCAAGAAGAAUAAUAGUAAUAUGUGUGAGAUGACCGUGCAAAUCAGAUCAUUCGCUGAUGCAUCCCUAAAGUAGAAGUUCCUUCCAUCCUGAACUUUUGUCAUUCUCAUGCUUGCGGGGACACUUCAGUCCUAAGCGCAUGGUGCGCAAAGUGCUGGAAUGCUGGUUAUUUUGGCCUUCCCUGUUCCGUGACGCAUAUAUCUAUAGUAAAAUAUGUGAAAUUGCCAACAUACAUGAAAUUAGGCCGCAAGGAUUAGAUGUCAUUAACACCCAUCCUAGUCUACGACAUCUUUGAUGUGUGGGGGAUAGAUUUUAUGGGACCCUUUCCAUCCUCCUUCGAAAACUCAUAUAUUUUACUUGCAGUGGAUUAUGUCUCCAAGUGGGUGAAAGUUAAGGCCACCAGAACCGACGACGCCCAAAACUGUUGUCAACUUCAUCAAAACCCAUAUCUUUGUUAGGUUUGGAGUGCCUCAUGCGAUGAUAAGUGAUAGGGGAAUACAUUUUUGUAAUCGAAUUGUGGCUUUAAGAAGUACCAUGUCAGACACCGUACCUCCACCACUUACCAUCCGCAGAUCAGUGACCAAGCAGAAGUUUCAAACAAGGAGGUGAAGUCCAUACUAGAGAAAAAAUUCAACCCCAACAAAAAAAGACUGGAGCUUAUGGCUAGAGGAUGCUCUAUGGGCCUACAUUACAGCCUACAAAACUCCUAUCGAAAUGUUAUCCUACUGCCUGGUUUUCGGUAAGGCCUACCACCUUCCUGUGGAGCUAGAACACAGGGACUAUUAGGCAAAUAAGAGUUACAACAUGAAGAUAGAAGAGGCCAAGCAACAUAAGAAGCUGCAACUACAGGAAUUGGAAAAGAUAAGAAAUGAAGCUUACGAAAAUUCACGAAUAAAUAAAAAGAAGAUAAAGUCCCUCCAUGAUCGAAUAGUCACCAAAAAGUAGUUUUUUUGUAGGACAGGAGGUCCUACUUUAUGAUUCCCAUCUGAAGUUGUUUCCCAGAAAAUUACGUUCUAAGUGGUUAGCCCCUUUAUUGUCACAAAAAAUUCCACGCCGGAGCAGUUGAGAUCAAGAGUCUAGACACGGAUAAAACAUUCAAAGUAAAUGGACACCGACUCAAGCCAUCUAUGAAAGAUUUGUAGGACAACAAGUUGAAGAGCUCAUCCUAGAAACCCCUACAGAUAACAACCGAUAGCGCAGAGGCAAUCUCUAGCCUAGGACAGUACACAAGGGUGUUUAACAAGAGGCAACCCAUUUUUUCUCGUUUUUUUUCUAUUUUCCUUAAAACUAUUUUGAUGUUUUUAAAAUAUAUGUGUUAUUAAGGUUUUAACCUCAAUCACUCUAACUGGAAUUUUCUUCUUUAUUUACAGGCUGUUGAAGAAACAAUGCAAGACCACUGGGUCACCAGGCUGUAAAGACUGCAUUACCCUUGCCUAAGGCUAAGAGCGAUAACCCAAGCCUUGCCCAAGACGAAGAGUGAUAACCCAAGCUUUGCCCAAGGCCUAGAGCGACAAGUUAAGCCUUGCCAAAGGGUUAGCGCGUGCCUUGUCUAAGGGUUAAUAACUUCACAAGCCUUUUCAUGGAUCGGAUGCAAGCCACAAGGCUUAAACCAUGGUAACAUAAGAAGUCUAGUUUAGAAAUAUUUAGAUAAUUCAUGCCCAAGGGUUACGUUGUAGAUGUGAUUGAAGUUUUAUACUGUGUAACCUUUGCCCAAGGCUAAAGUGAAAAAAAGAAAAAAAAAAUUCCCCUUGUGAACUAUCCACUAAGCCUUUGUCUAGGCUCAUGACACCUGACGUCCAUUUUAAAUUUAAAAUCCCUACCCUAAAACACCACUCCCCACUUUCACAAUCAAACUCUCACUCUUUUCCCUAAUCACAACCUCUCACCUCAAACCACAAGCUCCACCUAAGGAACACGCUUCACUGCAUGAUGCAAGCAACCCCUCGACCCCAUAGCAGAUGAACCUCUAGUGUCUCCCACCCCCUAGCCAACAAUACUAGGGGAUUAUUCUAUCCUUUCUUUUUCUCUUAUUCUGUUUUUUUUUUCAUUUCUUAUUUUCUGGUUUUCAUGCUACCUUGCUUGUGUCAAAUUGGGGACAAUGUGCCUUUUAAGGGUCGAAGAGGCACAUGCUGCACUUUUACGUUUCCAUUUUGGUCACAUUUUUUCUUUUAAGUACAUGCUGAUAUGCAUUCGUAGCCCUACCCAAGUCACACAUAACUACAUUUUCAACUAUUUUUAACCCCAUCUUUUCACUACUGCCUUGGUAUUUCCAAAAUAAUUUAACUGGUGUUUCAAGAACUAAAUUACAUUUUCAGUAACCUUCUAAGAUUUCUGACUUAUUUUUCAUCUUUUCACACCAUGAAGAACUAUUUCUAUUAAUAUGUCUUAACAUAACUUGUUUAGGAAUUGCAUUCAAUUGAUUUUCUCUUGUCCUGAGGUGAACACUAGUGCCUAGGGAACUUACACAACUAUCUGUCUGAAUUUGCAUGUUCAAAUUCACCAAAAAAAAGGAGAGAAAGAGCAUGAACCAUAAACUACUCGUCUAGUUGAAUGAAUUUAUAACCAAUUGUGUAACCCGGUGCAUUCAUCAUAAAUGUUUGUCAUCACGUCAAAAGGUUGGUAACAUUUAAGAUAGCCAUAAAAGUGUUAGUCAAUCGAUUAUGAAUAGUACUAGUAGCCUCUGAAAAUUGUGACCAGCUGAGUAACCGGGUGCAUUCAUCAUAAAUCUUUGCCCUCACAUAAAAAAGUUAAUGAAAUUUUAAGUCAACAAAAGAGUGCUCAAGAAGUAAUUAUUUUAAUUAUUUGUUCUCACAAUAACCCAUUUGCAUUAAGACUUUAUGUUUAGACAAGUUUAGUGUGGAUUUUACCCUAGUUAUUGGCUAUUCUUUUCAAGAUAAAAAUGUGUUCAAAAACCUACAAAACCUUUCCAUUUUAUGCUUGGAUAUUAUUCAAAGUAGUUAUUCUUUGGUGUGAUUCCAAGAAACUCAAGCCUAAAACUGCUAGUAAGGACUGUUUUUGCAAAUUUAAGAUUGAAAUAUAACAUGCAAGUUGUGGAAAAAUUAUUAAGGGCAGUAGGGUUGAGGGUGCAAGGUUGAGACUUGUUGAGUUAUAUUGUGAAGUGCUUGGAGGCAAGCACAAGAUAAAUGUGGAGGAGUUUAAUAGUGUGUAAAAACAUCAUCUUCAUUGCCCAUUUUUAAGUACUUAAUUGAAUUGUUUGCUAUCUAAAUUAAACUAUUUUAUUCAUUUUGAUAUAAGACAGAAGAUGGAGCCUAAGUCAAAAAAAUAACAAAAAAAGAGCAGAUUUCAUAAAGCAACUGUCAGUCAUGGUAUAAGCCUCAAUCAAGACUUAAACCCUACAGCAACAACAGACUUUGGCUCGCACACAAUCAAGCCUUGGGGAAAGCUAAUGCAUUAGAAAGGGCUAUAGGUUUUAGGUACACCUGACUAAGCCUCGGUCAAGGCUUAGACACGUGCAAUAGUAUAUUUUAAAAAAAGGCACAUUACCGAAGUAAAAGAAGAAAUCCCAUUGCAACCAUAAGAGGAAAUCAAGAAUCAAGGAAGAGAUUAUUUUGGAAAGCAAGAAGGAAGUCGAAAUCAUUAGGAAAGAUCUCUAUCUUUGCAAAAAGAAAACCCUAAUCCUCCUGGGGUUUAAAAGGAGAAGAAAACCAGAGAAGAAGGCAUCAUGGAUGCUACACACUGCAACACUUGUAGCUUUCUAAAAUUUUCUUCCUUUUUUCUCUUUUCAAUAGUCAUAAAACUCUAUUAUGUACUAAGCCCAUCAUGAGUUGCUGGUAACUUUCUUUUCCAGUUACAGAUUUAGUGAAAAUUCUAGUUUGAAUUGUGAGAUAUAAUGGCUUUAUUUCUUGUUUCAUUAAAGCUUCGAUAUUCGUUUAUUUCUCUAUGCGUAUUAUUGUUGCUCCUUGUUAACCAUUUGAAUAGGGCCUGUUAGCACGCGACAAGCAACAUACUACCAUCCAAAUACUAAUCCGUAAUUAUUUGGGUUGUUUCGAUACUCAGUGGUAAAUUAGCCUCUGAGCUAAGGAUAUAAGUGAUCUAGUUGAGUGGGUCACACGGUUGAAUUCGACAACUAUAACUAAGUUCUUCAAGUUUUCAAGGUUAUUGAUAAAUUAAAUUCUAGGAACAUUUCCAGAGCUAUUUAUCAACAAAAAUCAAUUAAUGAACAUUUUUUGGUUGAUUUAGGAUUAAGAAAGAAUCGGUUGUCAGAACAUUUCUGAUAACCAGAACUAGUUUGUCGAGCUUUAGUAAGACCAAUCAUUGCAUUAAUGAUUAAUUUCACUACUGGAAUCUAGCUACUCCUUUAAUUGGGAUCAUUCUUAUAUCUACUUAUUUCUUUGAUUGUCUUUUGUUUCUUUGUUUAAAUUUUAGCCUAGUAGUUUGUUUCUUUUCAUCGUUUGAACUUAAAGAAAAACCCCAUGCUCUUAUUUUUCGUUGGUCAAAGAAGAAAAGUUGUUCUUGAUUCCCUAAGGAUUCGACCCUAUUUACCACUAUUAUAAUUCUAUUUUGUUGGUUGAAUAUGACUUUUAUUUUUGGUGGAUUUGAUACCCAUAAACAAUACAUCUUAUUUUUUUCAUAAUUGGACACCUAUAUCUUAUUGUACAAUGUCAUUUAAAUCAUUAUUAAAGAGGGCAGUAAAGAUCACCUCUAUCAACGUGAACACAAUCAUAGAAAUAGUGAAAACUAAAAUAUGCUUCCACUAUACGGGACUCACUAAUCGACCGACAUCAGCAACAUACACACCCACCCCUCAACGGACAUAGUAUAGUAUAACAUAUUAGAUAUUUUUUGCAUGGGUUCACUAAUCAACCAAAAUAAGCCAUACACACAUCUAUCCAUCUGUAACACCCCACUCACCACUGUGUUUAAUUUAUAUUUGAAAAAUCCUAUUUAUUUGGGUCUUAUGGUCACACUAAACUCAUUUAUUUUAUUCCGCAGCUUAUUAUCGUGAUUCGUAAAUUAUGUUUAUUUUUAUUUUGUUUAAUUUUAUUUAAUUUUAUUUUGAUUUAAUUGUUUAAUCGUCAUUUUUUUUUAAAUAAACGAUUUUCAGAAAAAAUAAAAAAUAGGGAGAAAAAUCUUGCGAGAUUCUGCCCACGUGGGCGCCCGUGUGGUGUGUGCGCUCGUGCACACUUCCCAUCGCGCGGCGUAGAGGACAGGCCUGCGCACGCGUCUUGUCACGCACAGGCAGGACCUGUCCACGUGCGUCACAUUGCGUGCAAACAGGUAGGCGCCACACACUGUGUGCGGCCAUUCGUGCAAUAAGCCUGCAUGAAUUGGCUUGCGCGCCUUGGGCCUGUGCUCGGCUCCUCACCACGCCUUGGCCCUGUGCACAUAGGCCAGUUCCUGCGGCAGGGUAGACUGGCGCCUAAAGGCUAGGCCUACAAUGAGCACUAGGCAAAUGAGGCCAUUGCCACCUCGGACAGUGUGUCGUCGCCCAUCUUGGGUGGCAUGCUGCUGCUUAAGGUGUCGCCACCAGUGGAGGAGGUUUUUUUCCUCCGUUUUUCAUACUAAAUCUUUUUACUCUCUCUCCACCAGAUUUUACCACUUGGCACAAAUCCAAUGGCCUCCAUUUUCUAUAAAUAUGGGUCUUUCCUCCCAUUUUCUCUUCACUUUCAUUCUUCCACCUUUCAAGAGUUAGAGAGAGAGAAUGAGAGUGAUUUAGAGAGAGAAUGAGAGGAGAAAAAGAAGAAUGGUGUAGAAAAAAUUAUCAAGGUUUCGAUAAGAAAUUUAGUAUUUCUUUAGACAUCUUAAUGGAUAUUUUUAGACAAAAAAAAGGAUUAAAUUGAUAAUUCUAUGACUUUACGUAUUUUGCAUGCUCUAUGUUAGUAGACUUAAUAAGUUGAAUUGUUCUUGAUUUCGAGCAUACUAUAUGAGUUAUAGAUACUUGAUGAUUUGCAUAUAAUUAAAAUAAUAUAAAACAGGUAAGGCUAUAUAGAAAAAAAAAAAAAAAAAAAAAAGUAGAAUAAAGUAUGAAUGGUCCGAAGUAUGUACCUGUAUUGACAUGCAUAACGCAUUAAGUAUCUCAUUAGACUUUUUAUCUCUAAGGAGUAUCUAUUCCUCUAUCCCCAUUCGGGAUAUUUUUUUUUCCUCCCCCAUCUGGUAUGGAAAGACGUAAAAGGAAUGUUCCUUAUAGAUGACGGCAUACCCUCUGACGAGAGUAGUGAUGCAAAUAUCUGUUAGGAGUCACAUUUAGUUAAAUAUUUUCGUAACUAUAGAAUAUUUUAUAGGAUCACUAUGCUUGGUACGACCAUGGUCAUAGAUCGUACCAUGGUUUGGCAAUCCGGAAAUGUCUCUGAGUAAAUUGUCAUUAUCUCUAUCUAAUCUGGUCAUUCUAAAUGGAUAGUCGAAAAUUUAUAUCUGCCUUCAAAGAUAUAAGCCGUAACGACUUUACGAAGCAUGACACAAAAAUCUGAGUAUUUCAUUAUUUAUUUGAUUUUCUCUAUUGUUAGGUAUACUGUGUUUUAUUUUAAUUGUUGACUAUAACGUGAUUUUUUUUAAUAAGUAAAUUAUUUUCAUAAGGUAAGAUAGAUCUACGACGUACCUAAAUGGUAAGUAUUUAUGUUAGAAUUAUUCACCUUUUAAAACCUUAUGAUGUUAACUAAAUACUAUUUUUCUUACUGAGCAUAUGAAACUUACUUUUUCUAUGCUCCCAGAUGAGGAAGAUGAUGAGGAACCAUCAGCUGAUAUACCCAUUGAACUUUAUGAGGAUCCCAUAGAUCUGCAUACUUUGAGUGCAUGAUCGUCCUCGCACUCUGAUGAGUCCAAUAGUAUAAUGAUAGAAGUGGCUCUCUUUUGUAUUUUGACAUUGUAUUUUCCGGUCACUUCUGGCCUCACUUAUAUAUAUAUAUAAUUGAAACUCAUAUAUUUAUAAGGAAUUUGUAUUAAUUUGCUUUGUUACAUAUAAUUUUUAUCAUGCACUCGUAAUUUUUUUUCUGUAUCUGACACCUCAAUGCCUUAAUUAGCGUCUGAGAUGUCACACCAUCCAAGAACAUAACCACUGCAAUCACAUCUAUAUCAUACCGCAUAGCAAGUACAAUGCACUAUAAGUGUAAUUACAUCUAUACCGGACUACAUAGCAAGUACAAUGCACAUUACCAUAAAAUAUCUUUUUCGUCCACGUGAUAGGUUUCAUCAUCAACCAUAUCGACCGAAUCUCGGCCACACACACGCAUUAAUUUGCUUUCACAUUUUGAUUUGAAUUUUCCCUUUAAUUUUAAAUUUUCGCUCAAUAGAUUAUAUAUUUAUUUCAUACCUUUUUUUUUAGUUAAUUAAUUUCUUUCCUUACGUAUUUUUCUCUAACUUUAACCUUCACAACGAACUUAACAUUUAAUAUCAUUCCAUUAAUAUUUUAUUCGUAUAGUUUCAUUAAUAAUUUUUGUUUAACCCUAUUUGUCUAUUUAGUUAAUUUUUUGUUGUACAUUUAUGACAAGGUUUAAUACUAACCCCACUCACAACCCUAUCGUACAUGGUAUUCUUCGAUAUAUUUAUAAAUAGGCUCUAUAAUAUACUUCUAAUUUAAUAUUUUUAUUAAUUUUUGUUGGUGAUAUUAAUUUCAAAUCCACUUCUGGUUUUAAUUUUUGGACCAAUAUCCUUAGUCAACCUAUUAGACAUUUUAUUUUGACCCAUUAUAUCAUUUUGGAUAAUUAAUUCACUCUUAUCAUAUGUUAUCAUUAAUACUAUUAUUGUUAUUAUAAUUAUUAUUACUAUAACUUAUUUAUUUAUUCUUUUCUUCCUUUUUGGGUCUCUAUUCAGUGGCCCACUUUCCUAUUGCCCAUUAAGAUAAUAGUUUUGAUUUUAGAAAAAGACUUGGCUCUACCCUUGAAAUUUCUAGUUCUGACUCCUUUAGAAAUUAUAUUUUCGGGCUUGACUCGUUUAAGCCAUUGGUUAGGAACCAUCUAUCUUUUAUAGGCUCAACCCAUUAAUAUGUUUUAGGUUCAGCCCAUUCAGAAAUCAAUUCCCCAUAACCCUAAAGUUUCCUACAUCUUAUCUCUCCACCCAUGAACACAGAAGGGUUUACAAAUUAUAUUUGUAACACUUCAUUUAUAAUCACAUGUAUAGAUUCCUAAUAGAUGAAAAUGGGUGUAUUUGGUCGUUUCUAAUCUACCAUUUUAAAGAUAUAUUUUAGAUAAACUAAUUUAGGAAUUGCUUCAGAUGUAUUAAAUUACAAUUAUGGGUUAAGAAACUAAAUCAAUCUUAGUCUUCUUAGAUUAAUGAUGGUGUGAGUUUGAUUUGCGAUGAUGAUUAUUGCUUUUCCCUAAGCUACACAUACACAAAAAAAAAAAAACCCACUUUGUCAUGAAAACCCAAAUCGACGAUGAAGUUCAUCCCAUUUUUGGGUCUAUGAAAAUGAAGGAAACACUUACCAAGAGACUCACCACUCAUUGCAUAAAUGUCUAAAAUCCCGAAUUAACUUCUAGCCUUAAGCCUUCUGCUGCACCUUCACCUUCUUCAACCUUUCGAAACACUUUCCCUUCUCUCUUCUGUCGCUUCGUUCGGGUUUAGGAUUAAGGUUUGUGUUUACUUUUUUUU
rnacentral:lncRNA from 1 species